rnacentral:lncRNA from 1 species
UUUUGUUUACUUUGACAGCAGAUUUAUGUACUGUUUCAGCAUCUGAAGUUACAGGUUUGUCAGAAUUCUGUGAUGUGGCAGGAGUGAGCUUAUCGGGGGGUUUGUCAGUUGUGCCACAUUUGACCUUCAGAAUUUUUGCCUUUGUACUAGACUUGUCAUCCUCGUGGGCUUCAACCACAGCAAUUUUGGUUGCACUUUUCUGUAUGAGCUUCUUUGUAGAAGUUUUCUGCUGGGGUUGAUCUGCCUGAUCCAGAAUACCAACUUUCCCUAAGUUCUUCUCCGGCUCGUUGUUUUCAGCACGUGUUUCAACAUCUUCACCAUAUUUGGGGCAAUUUUUAUUAGUCCUCAUAUGACCAAGCUGAUACAUGGAAUAAAAAGGGGGGAAAAUCUCUUAAGAUCCAGAACUGUAAGCAAAGUAACAAGAUUCAUGUAUCAGCACAAACCUGGCCACAAGCCCCACAGACAAAACUCUCUCUUGCUGAUUUCUUUUCCUUGACAAUCUGGUGGCAAACAGAAAAAUUUCUACGUUGGUAGCAUGUCACUCAAAUCUUAGAGACAAUGGAGACUCAAACAAGCUUGCUAGUUUUGUAAUAUUAUGCACACGGGGUUAGGAGGGAAUGAAACUCAUAUAAGUACUUAUAUAUGUAUGUAUAUUUCAAUAACAAUCAGCUCAAAUGGAAUUUGACUACCAGCAUAGUAUAAAAUGAAUGAAACACAGAAUUGUUCCCAUCACACAGCAACAAGACAGGGACAUCCAGUAACAAAGAGAGAUACCUUAAUUCCAUCACCCAAUAUUUUAACUUUCUUUUUUAGAAGCUCCAUCUGUUCCAUGUCAUUCUUCUUCUUUGCUUUAAGUUUCCCGGAUAAGUUCUUUUUAGCUGAAAUAUUCUCGUCCUGCAUCCAAACCAAGGCAAAAGUAAAAUUGCUGAUUUUCUUGACUUGAAUUUGGGGACACAUUUGCAAUUACUGUCAGUAUAAUUUGUGUGACUUCAAGAUCCAUUCAUUCCAUGGUAAAACUUAAUCACAUCAUCUUGAUGAUAUGACGAAUAAAAGCCUAAGAAAGUUUGUCUGCUUAAGCAACCAAAGAAUACACAAAUUGAGCCACAAAGCAAAAUCACGGAAAUUGUCCUAGAAAGCUGACUGCUCUACUGUCAACUUUCUGACACAUCAUCAUACAGAACACCAUGCAUCCUGCAACCUCCACCAGUCAAUGUCACUGACUAUCUCCUCAUUCUAAUGAAUGCCUGGCCCGGUGGGUUAAAGCCAACAAAAACAAGAGAGCACUCAAUCACCAUCGUUAUUUCCCACAGCCCAUGUUUCUGCUUUCCAGAAAAGGAAAAGCGAUAACAUAAGCCACAUUAACUGUGUAUCUCUGAAUUAGAACAAGUAUGUUACUUGUGGUGGAAAUGAUUGCAAGUGUUUAGCUUAAAAGAGACUCCAGGAAAAUAUUCAGCCAAUAAGACAUGAGUUCAAGAAGUCUUGGAGGCCAAAAAUAGAAGAAGACUUCUGGUGAAGCUACAAGGCUAUAGAGCAAGUUUUGAUUCUGGACGCAAGCAGUUAGACUAAACAGAGGUCUGAUGUCAAGGGAGGCUAGCUACCAGUUUGGUGACUUGUAUCAAACAUGUAGCUAGGAUACUUAAGCAUAUAGCCAUUUUCACAGCCAGUAUUCAUGAGUUAUGAGAGGUAAGUUGGAAGUUGUUGUAGGUGCAUGAUAUGUGGUAUGUAGGAAGACCCUCAAAUUUGUCUGGUUGUCCCAAAGAAUACCAAACAUUUGGAUCAAAUUGGAAGGACACACAAAAACUUCAAAAAAUAAAUGAACAAUACAAAGAAACUGAACCUCUUUACGAUCUCUAGUGGCAUUCUCCUUUGCUAGAGGUUGUCCAUCUAGUUGUAUGUUUCUCUUGAUAACAUUGUUCGUUUUCUGUAUUCGCUCAACAUUCUCAACACCAAGCUUCAAUUGCGAGACUGAACCCAACCGAACUUGGUCCCCUCCAACUUUAACUUUUUUCUUCUUCUUUCUAUCAGCUUCAUCAUCUGCAGAAUCAACUUUAUCAAUCAGAAAUGGGAAAGUUUGUGGUUCAAUAUUUACAUCAGUGAAAAAGACUUGUAACUUCUCAUUUGAUGCACAUUUUCUUUUUACUUUAGAAACCCCAGAAGACAACUUAAAACUACAACCACAUGAAAUUGUUGAGUAACUUGGACCAACUAAAGUGAUUCCUGCUUUGUGUCUAUCAGAGGACAGAAACAUGUCCAGAUAUCACAACUGUUCGACAAGUCAUCAAUUCAUGUUACAAUUUGCUUGUCAAGGGAUUGGACAACUCACAAGGUACAAAUAUUUCUCUGGGUUUAUUCUUCUAUUAACUUCUUUUAGUUGGGUUGAUUAAUUCUAGGAAUAAUAUAAGACCACCAACAAACCAGAAGCAUCAUAUUCUUCCCUGCAUUAACCUGUUGAUCAAGGUCCUAGAAUGAAGCAAAAACAUUGAUCUAUCCAAUACAGAGUAUAAACAUCACUCAGCACAUCCAGAACCACACACAGAGAGGGACCCUGCAAAACUGACUCAGAAAUUAAAGGACAACGACAAGAUGAAACCAUUUAUAUCCUUAUUGUACUGAAUGUAUUUGGUCAUCGAGGCAUUCCAUAUAAACUCACCACCACUUUGAGUAAAUAAUCGUACUGAAGAGCUGUCUAAAAUCUUACAUCUGUAUUUUAUAUGACCAGCAGCUAUUAAGCUGCAAGAAGAAUGAUAACUAGAAACAGUAAAAGUGAUUAUUACAUACCAUCCAUAAGCAUUCUGCACAACUCAGCUGCUUCAGCAGCCUCAUCUUCAAUUUCCUCCUCUGCCUGUGCUUGGAAAGGUCGCCUUCUCAUCUUAAUCCCCUUAACCCCAUCAAUGAUAUCAUUCUUGGAAACAUUAUUACCAUCUUCACCAUCUUCACACUCUUCUGCAUCCAGAAGAUUUUCCAAAUCCCCAGCAAAGGAAUCUAGGUCACUGUUGGCUUCAGAGUCACUUUCGUUUUCUUCACCCUCAACAGCAGAAAGACUUUGAACUUGUCGAUCCCAUAUUUCCUGACAUUUUUCCCUCGUCUGCUGCUGCAGCUGCAUAAACGACAUUCUUUGGCCACGAGCAUACUUGCUGAUUGUUGUUGGAUCUACCUUGACCCCUGAUGCAGCUUGCUCACUUGAAAGCUUGCGAAUCAUAGCAAUUCGAUGCCACCUAGUCUGCUUAGCUAUUUGCUCCUCUGGUACAUUGAAUUUGAGGAGAACCUACAAUAUGCAUGCCAACAUCAUCUCAUGUACAUCAAAAUAAAUAACCCUUUGUUUAGGGACAGAAGACAAAAACAUGCAAUGUGUCAGUAUUACAUGCAAGACUUAUGGUUCUAGGAUUGCAUUUAUGAGUUUUUUUUUUUUUUAAAUCAAUGUGUAUGCUGGUUUUAUGUCAGAAAUAUAAAAGAGUCAAAUACCAUGCAAUGCCCGGCACAAGCACAUCUUUAUGGUAGUCCAAUAGUAUGAGAACAAUAUGAACAAAGGAGAAUUAGGAAAUUUCACCUUUUCCAUGUUUGUUUCCUUGAACAUUUAAAGAAAAAGUCCAACUUAAGUUUAACAAUGUCUCUAUGUACUUUUGAUCAAAUCAAAUGGCUAACCAAACAAGAAAAUGUUGAUUAAGUUAAGUUUUUAAUAUCAAAGAAACUAAUCAGAAUCAAAUUCAGCCUUGUACAAGUAGCUAGAAAUGUCUCUUUUCAGUGCUCAACCAAUUCACCACAGACACGCUUCGUUUUCAAAUCAGUAAGAAAUUGAGAAAAUUUUUAAUUUCUUGUAGAUUUGAGGUGCAUAAAUAAUGAGAACAUUUCAUAGUUAGUUCACUCAUUGGUUAUCAGCAAAGAUCAUUCUUGGCGAAAAAUCAACACACCUCUCGUGCAGCUUCCAUGCUCAAUCUGCGUAGAUCGGCAUCGGUACCGGUUACUGUUGAACCUUUACCAACAACUGCCUUUUUCUUCACCAUUGUAUUUGAUACAGGUGCCUUAGGAGUAUUACGAACAAAACUGAAACCUAGCCCACGUCCAGAUGGAUCACCAACACCUGUAAUUUCCAAACGUUCAAUAUUUUCCCUGUCCUGCAUCAACAGCAGACAUGGGAAAAUUCAGUGAAGUCAUAGUGCCGAGAUUAAGUACCUAAAAAGGUCAUUGAAAACAACUUUUGGGUCAUAUUUCAUAGCAACAAGAACUGGAAUCCUCCCAAUGGAUACCAUACAUAAUUUAUAAGGUCACUUGUACAUCUGUCAUAUUGUAAAAGAUAGCAUCUUUAGAAAAAGUACAUGACGUAUGGAUAUCAUUACCUGAUUUGUGCAGGCAACAAAGUUGCUACUCAAGUUCCAUGGUGUUAUUUGCAGCUCCCUUUCAAUAUGAGAUGCAGCAGCUAACGCAAUAGCUUCAUCUGGAAGCUGAUUCAUUGCAGACGACAGGCCUGUUGGUGAAGUUAACCUAGUAAUUCCCAACCGCUUGAGCCUGUACAAGCCAGCUUGCAUGCUUUCAUAGGCACAAACCUAUUCUCAGACAAGUGAAAAGGAUGCAAUUGUUUAAGGACAAAGAAUUAGGAACAAAGAGGAAGGUAGAAGGUUAACUACGAAAAAAAGAAUUGAUGCAGCCUAUUAGCGGAAAACAGAAUUUUCCCCUAUUUUGGUCUUCUAUAAGCACCCCUGUUCAAUAAUAUUAUCAUUUGUUGAAAUUGAUUAGGUUUGCUUCCAACAAGCAGUCAUUUUGGUGAAGGUAAAUGAAUUCCUCCAACAUAUGAAGAAAACCCAUUUCCAUCCAGCUUUUCUAUUUCAUGCACCACAAGAAGUUACCAUCUGGAGAAAUGAAAGAAGACGGAUAUAUCCAUUCUGUCUUGCAGUGGUUUUAAGUCGAAUCACAGCAUGCUAGCUUGGACAAAACCAUAUAAUAUUUACCUUUGAAAUUAGAGUGAAAGAAGAACAGGGACAUCCUUAAAGUAGAGAGAAGGGAGAUUGUUCAUUAGCAACUGCUCUUAUAAUCCGAUGACCAGCAAGUGGAAACCAGAUUGUAGCAAAAUUCUCAAUAGUCUUAGAUGCUUUUUACUACAAUACCCACUCAAGUUCUAUGAAAUGGACACUUGACUGGCUGAAAACAAGUUAAAUACAAACUUAAUUUCUCGACUCUGGUCAUUGCAGAAUGUCAAGGGGGUGACUUUUCAUGCUCGCCUCCAACUAUUUUCGUAAAAAUCACAAGAAGCAUUAGAAGCCUAUUUCCAGACCAACCGCAUCAAGGCACACAUUCAAAAGCCAAAAGAGGAUGCCCCAAACAUCAGUUGAGCUGGCUAUCCGAAUGUUACAAAUAAGUAAAUAAAAGUCAAAAGUAAUUGUAAAUUCUAUCCUAGCAGAUAAAUAUUGGAAUCUAGCAAAGCUCAAUUUACUUCAUGUUCAAGAGUGACUCUAAUAACACCAGUACAGGUAAAGGAGGAAAAACAAACUCAAUAAACAAUAUAUUGCUUCAGGCAAAUACGAUUAAAUCAAAUUUUAGAAAAUCAUGUUUAUACAGCUUUUCAGUCAAUACAUCAGCAGAUGUGACGGAUAGCCUUCCAGGAGAAGCGCUAAAACAUCCCAAACUUCAACAUGUCCCACUCUUAAAUGGACGUUGAACUUCACGAUGUUUUCAGACAAAAUACCAUCAAUUUAAAAAUAUAAAGCUCAAAACAAACAUAUGAUCCACCCAUCACACUCAACUGGGGCAAACCAUUGAUCCGAAAACUCAAAAAUAUCUGUGACAAAACACUCUUGAUCACAUGCUCAAUACAUACAUGCAGAUCGUAUGUUGUAUCCUACAUGUAUAAAGGAAGAGGAAUAUGGAUAAAAUUUGUUAACUAAGAGCUUACAUUCUCUGGUGUCACCAUCCUCCUUAGUUCCUCCUCCAAAGGAAUGCGGAAAUUGCGCCUCAUAGCCCAAAGAAGCUGUCCAUUUGAUCCUCUCUGGUAGAUUGCAAAUUGAGGUUAACUAUUUGCACAUACACGACCACAAAAGAUUAAGAAGAAAAGAAAAUAAUUCAAUGACAUAUAGCAGCGUCAGUGUGAGCUUCUCCAUGCAGUAACGCACUUAGCAAUAUAUUUACCAAAAAAUUCUCAUUAUAGAAAGGUCAUAUUUUUUCUAUUAAAAGAGGAUAAAUAUACCCAUGAUAGAGAAGAUGCUGUCAACAAAUUUCUAGGCCUAAUGAUGCCUAAUUCAAUUGGUACUUGUUACUAAUGAAUGAAGAAGUUCGAAUUCUGAAUCAGUUAGCUAUCACAUAACCUACACAAUAGACCAUACAUGGGAUAGAUGUACAAUUCACAACUUUCAAAAAGUGAGUAAUACAGAGAGUAUUGCUAGAGAUUAAUAUCAUAGAAGCUGAGUCUUUUAAUCACUAACAGUCCAAAGCAAAUGACUUAGUUAAGUUACUUCAUUCUUACAAUCAAGUUCUUUCCCUUUGUCAACAAAAGGACACCAGUUUAAAACCUAUAAUCCUCAAAAACCGGUACGCUAUUCCCUUGUUUCCUUGAAUUUAUAAACCUGAACGUCUCUUUUAACUUCUUUUUUCUAUUUUCACUCUUCUUUAAUGAGCAGAGUCGGGGGAGUGGGAUUGACGUUGAGGUUGUCGGAUUGGUAACCAAAUAAUUCGAUUAGUUCCGUAAACUAGAUUCAAAGGUAUAAUACCUGCAAAUCAGCACAAUGUUUUAGCCUUUUCCGAAGAAAUGCUUCUGAUAGGCUGGGAAACUGUGCAGACAACUCAUCAGCGCGUAUAGAAGGCCGUAACCCACGCUUCUCAGCAGCAGAAAACUCACGGUACAUAUACACCAUCAACCUGUUCAUAAUGUAUGUUUGAACACUUUUUGAUCCAGGGGACAUUACCUCGAUGUGAGGCUCCUACAUAGUUGACAUGAAACAAGAUAAAAUUAAGAAUUGAAGUUUUGCUAUGAUUUUUUAGGUGAAACAAGAAAUAGAAUUCAAAAUGUGCACAACAGAGGUUAUUCCCAAACUUAACUUCACUUCUAGCUGUAUUGUUCCCUCAGACAUAUAUCAAGCUUUAAUAAUAAGAUAGUCAGAUUACAAUAACAAAAUGAAUAUAGAUGCAAUGAAUACUUCUCCAGAUCACAAAAGCUACAGAAAACAACCCCAAAGUCAAUAAAAGAAAAUUUCUGGUUUUUCCUUCAACUCAUUUAACCAUUACGAAAGCCAUCAGAAAGCUGCAGCUGAAGACAAAGAUGCUGAAAUCAAAAGCAAGACAAGUAAGACCACCUAAGCAACUUCUAAAUCAAGUACUGCACAGAGAAAUGAUAUGAAGUGUGUGACUAAUUAAGCUCCAACGAAUUUGUUCUCCAGAAAACAAAAUCUGUAGAACUUUAAGACACCUGAAGAGAAAAACAAAACUGAUAAAGGCAGAAAAAAUCCUUUAUCAUGCACUUUCUUUUUCUUUUUUCUUUUCUUUUUCCACAACUAUACUUAUGCUACUACUUUCAUUUCUUUGCCACUAGACCAUAUACAUUCCUUUCCCCACUCUUCCCUUCAUUCAAACCCAACUUGCUCUAUCUAUGCAAGUACUAUGCAGGAAUUUAAUGAUUAGCAUUGACCUUGAAGUUGCAGUUUUCUAUCCUCUGAUUCUUUUGAAUCAAUAAAUUUAUAUCAUUCAGAGCCAUAUACAGAAUUUUCACAUCUUUUAAGUAUUCAUUAGCUACAAACAACCAAUUUUCGUAGCAGAAAGAAUAACAGGAGUUUCUUCUGUACUCCUCUCUCAAAAUGGGUGAGACCAGCCUUCAAACCUCUCGUCAACCAUGUGCAAGAAUAGUUAUUCUAACAUGCAAACAAAAAUUUAAAUAUGUAGUGGAGGAAGAGGGAACAUGAAAGGCAACUCUGUGUGUGUGUGCGCGUGUGUGAGAGAGAGAGAGAUAUUCCAUGUAUACAGAGACAAGCAGAUCAAACAAUUUUCGCACGAGCAUGUACCUAUGCCUGUCAUCAAGCAACAAAUCCAAGGUAACACAAUAGAUUUGGUUGAAAUGUAACCUUUCCGAGAUAUUUAAAGAAAAAUAAAAGAUAAAGAAAAUCUUUUUAACCUGUUGUCCAACAACAUCAAUCCUGUCAAUUCGUCUUAUUGAAAGUUUUCCUUUUGCAGUUCGGACCAAUAGAAAAUCAGCUGAUGACACCUUAUGCUGAUAUAUAGGUGCUCGAUACAUAUUGGUUUCGAGAGAUGAUUGACUGCAACCAGGUUUUAUGUCCCCAAGAAAAGGGGAUUUAUCAGCAGGAUCUAGGAUUAAAACACUCCCCAAUCCGUUAUUCCCAUUUCGCAUUAAGUUCCCUGUUUGAUCACCAGGGGCAGACUUUUGGUAGUAAGUGCACAGUCUUGCACCCAUUCCCACAUUUCCCAGGAGUAAAGGUCUUUCUUCACAGUAUCUGCCAGUAACACACCAAAGAAAGAACAUCAGAGAGAUGCAAUUAUUUACAGAAUUUUAUGACAUGUCAAACAUUUAUUGCAAGACACGUACUCUAGAGGUUUCAGCAGAGCCAAAUUUUACAACUGUUAAAGAACACCCCCACCCCAACUUCUCUCCAUGCUCAGACCAAAAAAAAGAAAGAUAAAAUAGUAAACCAUUUCACAAUGACAAGCCUAUAUUUAAUAGAAAUAGUAAACCCUCUCCCUGUCAAGGAUCCCUAUGUAAGGGUUUGACAAGUCUCCAUUUUGCGACUUAAACACAUCCCAUCAGCACAAGCACGAGAAAUAGACCUCUGGAGGGCUCCAAGCAAUAAAUUUGUUUCAAAGAUGAACCCAUCAAAUAAGGACAGAAAAAUGAAUGCUCAAUCUUUCAAUCUUUCCUUCACUCUUAAGUUCUUCACAAUGAAUGCUUAAUAGCAAUGCAUGUGGCAGAACAUGUUUAGAGUUCAAAAACUCCACAUUUCCAAUUUGGUGUGCUACAUUUACAUGUUAUGAAACUUAUUCUUAAGUUCCAAUAGAAGAAUCACGUGAAUAACAUACUUAACCAUCUUCAUAUAAGAACCUUGGGAAAACGAUGUAUUAACUCUGAAACAACCAAGACAUGGCACCAAUACCUGCAUUACUAGUUCUUCCUCCUCCAUGACAAUUUUAUAUGCUUAAACCAUAAAAAAACAAACCAUCACAAUUACUCUACAAAGUCUUAUAGUGUUUACUAACAGAAUGUUAGACAAGGAGGUGGCAACAUUUAAUAUAACGCAAACAGCAACAUAAUCAUUGAUUCAGCACCUCAGAUAUACUUUUCACUAUUGUAAACGUGAAACAAAAUUACAGUCAAGGUGAAGACGUAUUCUGCCCCACAGUUCCAAUAAACAAUACUUUAUUGUGACCCAGAUCUUCACAUCUAACAAAUCACAAGCUGAUCUAAUUACAUGGAAUAGAAUUAAUCUUGACUGAGAUUGUUGGACUAUCUUUUGUAUUCAUAAGGGACUGGUGUAUAGAUGAUAAGCAAGAACUUUUAAGACUUACUCCAUCAGAAAGACAUGACCAUCCUUUACUGAAAGAUCGGACUUCUUCUUAAAUGCCCCAGGAGGACGCAAAGACUUGUUCUCACCAGGGAUUUUUUGUGCCCUGGGUAGUAAAUGGAUUUUUGUACGAACAAGGUGCAACAAGGAGUUUGGUCGCACAUUUUGUGCAGCAAGAGUCUUGUGGUCUUCUAGCUCCUUUCCAGAAUAAACCACUUUCACUGGCUCAGACAAUUUAAAAUCUACAAGCAAGAGAUAAAACAAUAUUUCCAUAUUCUAUAGCAAACGAAGAACAACUAGAAUUUAACAACGAAAUUUAGUAACACCAGAAGCAUAAUAAAAGUGAGACCUAGCUUCUUUGAAGCUUUAGCUUUAACUGAAGAGAUGGUCUCCUCGCCAUCCACAUGAAGUUUACAUCCUUUGCCUCCCAAACUCUUUAAUAUGACCUUCAUAGGUCCUUGCGUAGACAGCUUCUCUUGUUCUUUCAGUGCCACCUCAUUAUCAUGAGGAUACCAUAAAGCUUUUGGUCGAUGGAAAUUAGCAAUAUCUUUACUGAAGGUACAUCAAAAAAUUCACAAUAAGCAGUAGCAGACUAACACGCACUCAAAGCCCUAAUACGAAUAGGAAACAGAGCAUCCUAUGCAAGUAGAAGACAAAAAUAACCUCACAUACUGGAUAAGAGAUGACAUUUUAACCAAAAAAACAACAUGAACUAAGACAAUAAGUUCAAAAGAAGAUUAGAACAGGAAAAGUAGACAAGUAAGAAAACUGACAAAGGGUCAAGAUUGGAACUUAAUAAGACGAUCAACUUGCUGAAUAAACAGCCAAGCCUCAAGCAUAAAAAUUUACACAUGUUAAACAAAGUAAAACAGACCAUCUAUGGUAAAAGAACUACAAAAAGAAUAUGGCACUCAACCCUUACUUGCUUAGCUUAACUUUCAUCGUCUGCAGCUUAAGUGUUGGAAUUGAAUGCAGAACUUUGAGACCAUGAGCUGUACGCUUCUUCAUAUGUGAUUUCACCUGCUGGGAAGAUUUCCUAUUUGAGUAAAAUUUGUCAUUUGAGAUGUUAAACCUACCUCCUGAAAGACCUCCAUGACUAUGUAGCUCGACAGAGUCACCAGUACUAGGCUUGACUGAACGGGUUAUAAUCAUAGCACCAGCAUGAAGCCUAAGAUGCUUACUGUCCUUAUUAUCUUGAAUUUCAAAAAGCAUUUGUUCAUCUCGGAAAUCUAAUAUCAGCUUCGGCUUUGAAAUGGGCUGAUUUGAAUCCCAAAUUAUAUUGUCCAACCAAGAUCCUUCCUGCAGAUCUCCGUUCUCUAACAUGAGCCUAUUAAAACGGCUUAUGACACCAUUACCUAGAACUUUUUCAGAGCCUCCUUCAUGUCCAAGGUCAGUAUUAUUUGGAUCAUCUUGAUCAAAUCGAGACUCUAACCUUAAAAGUUGAGGAUGAUACAUUCUUUCACAGUAAGGCAGUUUUGAAGGUUCAGAAAGACUUCCUGAACCAAAGGGCUCUGGUGAUAUGGAAAAACCAUGACGAAAAGGAUGUUCAUGUUCACAACGUUCUCUUUCAAGAUCUGACACCAGAGGGUGAGUAUCGGCCUCGAAAUUCUUAUCACCCAGUACGUCAGAAUCAGGUCCAGACAUCUCACAACUCUCUUCAAUACAGGAACUCUGUGCGGGAGAAUUAUCCCAAAUUAUCCUAUCCUCCCAGUUUAGUUGAUCAAGAGGGUAAAACUUUGGACAAAUAGGUGAGUUCCACUCUGGAGGAAGCAUCACUGGCAAAUCUUCUUUAAAUGGUUCAGAACUCUGACAAGAAUCUUUUCUACACUGGUCAACUUCUGCAUCAAUUUUACCAUCUUCCUGGAUAACACCAAACUUCCCCGAUCCUAAAUCAUCGUCCAUAAAUGUUAAAACAUUGUGUUGAGCCACUUGGGCUUGUCUCGUACCAGACACAUCUAAGCCGGAUCCCUUCAAGAAUGUUUCCUCAUCUUCUUCAACAUUUUCUGGAGUAUCCAUAGUCUUGAAUUUAUCUGAAAACAUUCAACAUGAGGAAAGGACCAAUGGCUAAACUGGAAGUCCAUAAAGAGAUGCAUAAGGUGAAUAAGCGCAAGUGAUUAAUAUAUUACUGCCAUAAAAUUUAUUAGCAGCAAUAUACUCGAAACAUUCAGGUACAGAAAAUAUAUACCUCUAGGAACAGGAUAUUUGCGCUCCCUUUUGUCAGACUUCUUUAAAGGCUCAUAAAGGCCAAAAAUUUCUGAAAAACGUAGAAUCACCAAUCCAUCUUCAACACAAAGAAUAGGCAGCAGAGUUGAAUCGUUGCCCCCAGAUGGCUCCUCUAAGCCCACUGGCACCUCCUGAUAAAUUAGUAUCAACUAAGAAUGAGGAAUAUGGCAUACUAAUAAAAAGAUAAUUAACAGUAAAGUCUUAGAAAAAAUUAAACAGACUGACAACAAUAAGCUUAGAAAUCUGAAAGCAACUAACACCACUAAGGUCAAAACCAAUCAUGACUUCUGAUUCUUUAUUGGCAAAAGACGUAUGUUAAUUCUAACAAUUCUACCAAUACCAUCAGCUCACAAAGCUUUAAAUAAAAAGAAAAUGUCAUACUAAUUAUCCUCACAGGAGAACAAGGUGUAAAAGACAGUUUUAGCACUAAAGAACAUGUCAAGAGUUUGUGUUCCUAUCAAAUUUAAAUACAAGAGGUUUUUCAAAAAAAAAAGAAAAAGAAAAAACUCUAUUGGGAACAAGUUGGGGCAUAUAAUACAAACCUCCUCAGAAUCUACAAUAUCAGCGGUCAAGAAUUCAGAUUCAAGCGCAUCUUCAAAUGCAUCCCCAGAUGAAGCAUCUUCAUCAAUCUUUUCCCCUUGAGAAAGGAGGUUAAGACGAUCAUAAAACAUAUACUAUGGGUAAACCAUUUCAUAGUUAGGCACUAUAUCUUUCCAAAAAAACUCCUCAUUAGAACCAUCAGACUUGAAAAGAGAAUAUAAAUUAGUGCUAAAGGUAAGAACCCAGGAUAAUAGAUCCAUACAUGCUAUUUAUACAGCAAUCCCAACCUCAUAUGAUCUACGAUUAGGACUCUCAAUUACCUGAUUCAGACGCACAUGAAGAUUAAAACUGAAAAGAAAAACUCAAAAUGACACCUGUGCGUACAAAAAAAUUAAUCUGCGCUUAAGAGUCGAGUCUGUUUUCUUAAGACUUUACUCCAUGUUUACCCUUCAGUAAGUGCAACAUUGACACAGAUUAAACAACUGCAGAACUGCUAUGAAAUUUAAAUGAAAGGGAAAAGCCACAUAGCUUUAUGAUAACAUCUUCUGCUCUUAAUAUAAAAAUAUCAUGGCUGACCAAAUAUAUGGUAUAUCAAUGCUAAUAUAAGAAAUCCAUGGUGCAUACUACUUCAAAGGUAUGACUACUCUUGGUUUAUUCAAGGUCUUAGUCAUCAACUCCCAUUGCAUCCUGCUAAUAUUCAUCCACCACAUAAACUAUUACCAACAAAUAAGGAAAUUAAUAUAAGGUGGCAGUAGCCUGUUUUUUCCGGGCUGAUUGUUGAUGAGCUAAAUGAUUUUAAGCAGAAUUCAACACCAUAUCUGACAAUUUUCCUGUAGCUUUACUCUCUCUCUCUCUCUCUCUCUCUCUCUCUCUCUCUCUCUCUCUAUACACACACACACACACACACACACACACCUGUUUCUCUCUUCGUGUAAUACCCUUGUAAACAUGAUAGUACUCAGGUCCCCUCUCUCCCUCUCUCUCUGUGGAACGCACUUGUACUCAUGAUACUGUUCAGGUUAACAGACUAACCAUGGAAAAAGAUUAAAUCACAGUGAGUUUCCUCUCCAAUGAAGCAGCUUAAGGAUUCAAAAGCCACUGAAUAGGCAAAGAUACAUCAACAACAGGGGACCCAGAGAUAGAGAAAUAGCUAAAACAUGAUAUCUACACCCAAGUUCAAUAAUAAUGGCAACAAGAACAGAUUUAGGAAGUUCUACAAAAGAAGGAAAUGUUGCAAAAGUUAUCUUUGUUUCAGUCUAAGAAGCAUCCGUAGGUGAAUGUUCAAGAGUCAGCCAGGGGUGGAAGUCUAUUGGUUCCUCAUGGGUGGAUCCAUUGGUCAGCCACAUAGCAACAGCUCUAGGGGACCGCCUUGGCCACCAGUUGAUAAAAUAAGGCUGACUAGUUGGUAGACCAUUUUACUGUAAAUACUGGUGUAGGCCUCUUAAUUUGGCAUGCCCUGAAUAACAAAAUUUUCAAAUGAGUACCUUCCUCAGUCUCAGGUGAGUCGAAUGAUCUCUUCUUCCCUUCUCCCUUAGUUCUCUCCCUUCCUACUUUCUAAAACACUCUUCUUGGCUACAAUUUUGACCACCAAACAACUAUCUAAACUCUGCAACCCUUCUAAUUUCUAGGCAACGUACUUUAGCACUUAAAACACUCUAGCACUAAAAGUCACAGGCACAAAUUUCCAGAAAAAGGACUUCCAUGACACUCUAAGAAAGAAAACAUUUGACAUUAAAAUUUCAGAAAAGUAUUAAUGCAGAAAACUGGACAAACCAAAUUACAGAGACGUGUCAAGAAUGUAGCAGAAAAUAUGCAUAGAUUACUAAUCAAACACUAUUGUUGCGGCUUACUAUAGGAAAAUUUAAAUUAACUACCAACUUCAAUACUAGCUUGUUCCUAACACUAGAAAGCUUCUAGACUUAAGUCUAUAGCAUGAAAGGAGUUGUAUCAUCAACAUGGCAUUAAUGAACAGAAGCUGACCAAAAACUCUUGUUAAGAUUGACGAAUUUUAAAUAGACUCCAUUUCUAGGCACAUAUUAACAUAUGUGCCUGCACUAUCCACACCCCCAAAGAAUAUCACACUGCAUACACCCAUCCGUCCUCCGGACAUUAACUUUCUAUAUACAGCACAUUGUCUUCAACCAGGUGAUGCUCCAUCAUGACACUAGUUUUUUUUUUUUUAAGUUUUUGGCUCAAGAACUGAAAAGCUGAAAUGAAAUGCCAAUUUAUGGGUAUUGGUACCUUAAGCAACACAAGGGUGCUGCGGAAGUAAUACAAUAGGAAAGUACAUGAUUACCUCAUAACCAGAGAGUUCAAAAAGCUGAAAAGCACUCGGCCAAGAGGGAGUCAUCAACACUACUACAGUACAAGAAUCAAAUAUCUAUAUCCACUCACAACAACUUCUUGUGCUUCUACCACUGAAGGAAGACAUACUACUGAGCACUAAACCCAUACCUGGCAACUUUAUUAGCAAACUUAAAGUUCCUUUUUUAGCCAUUAAUCCACCAACUACAUACUCAAAAAAGACUACAUGCAGGGCCUUCGUAGAUGAAUAAAGAGAAACAGCUAAGCAUUUAGUUUCUAAGCCCCCGAAACAAAACCUGGGACAAAUUAGACUCUAAUAUUCACAUUCCGACAUCAAGAAAAAAGACAAUCUAAACUAUAAAUAACUAAAAGACAGCAUAAAGGCAUAUCCAAAUCCUUUAAAUGCAACACUCAAAAAUUGAUAGAUUGACAAUGAUUCAUAAUUAAACCUGCUGAAAGUAUGGAUUUCACUUCAAUAUUGCUUUCGGCCACCUCGUCCUUCUUUUCUGAUUCAUCAUCCUCGUCAUAAUUUUCAUCAUCAAAGACAGAAUUGAUAUUCCCCAAAGUACUCAUUGAUAUUUCUUUAGAAAAAUAGUCCUUUCUUGGCAACAAAAAAUCCUCUUCUGUAGCUGCUUGGACCUCCGGCCCUUCAUAUUGCUCCUCAAUAUCUUCAUAAUCAACAGCAUCUUCUGCCUUUUUAUCAUAGUCUAGUUCUCGCAAACAAGAAGAACAGGAAAAAGCACUAAUCAGAAUCCAUCACACUCAGAAAUGAAAUAUUGUGCUCACCACAGUAAUCAAACCCAAAUUGGCUACCAAUGGAGUUAUGAAAUAGUUAUCUAAGAUACAUGCAGCAGAUUACAAGAAUAUUAUUAUAACCCAAGUGCAUUUCAGCUUGGAAGCUAUCAUACAUAUAUCUACCAAAUGAAAUUUUACUUUUAUAAAAUCCUUGAAUUAAUACAGAAGAAAAACCUUAUGGAAAAACACCUGAUCCACAACAAAGCAGAAAAUGCAUGAGACAAAAAAUUAAAUUAAAAAAUGAUGAUGACAAGCUUUAGAUACUCUGGAAAUCAAAAGUGAAAGACAAACCCCAAGAACUUAAGGGGAUGAGGAUUUUGCAGUUAAUUGGUCAACCUCUUUCUUCUGCUUUUGGUAGAUCUGAGACAUAAUUUUGGACUAAAAUUGACAAUUGGAGUUGAAAAGAUUUUUGACUUUUCCCUUUUCAAUUUCUCUUUUUUUUUUGGUUGGGGGGGUGGUGGUGGGGGUGGGGAGAACAGGGGUUGGUUCUAACUUCAUAUAUUGCCACCAGUGACCUUAUGAAUUAGAAUUACUAGCUCUGUUCCCUGAUAAAUUAAAUGGACAAACAUUGCAGGAGUACCAAAAUUCAUUAACCAGUAUUUCCUGGGGCAGAAAAUCACCUUGUUCAGCAGCAUCAGAAGGUGUUUGUGGUGUUUUCACUGACAACUGGUAUUCAGGGAAAAGGGAAAAAAUGGCAUCAUCAGAUAGAUGUGCAUUAUAUAACAUAGGUUUUCUCACUUCAAAGUAAGAGCCUCAACAUACAUCUAUAUCUGUCAGGGAUGGACCAAGCUUGUCUGCCAGAGCUCCAAGAUGCUCCUUUGCCUCCUGAAAAGUCAGUAUCCUUGAAGUCACUGUAAGUGAAUACCAACACAGAAAGAAGUUUAAAAAAAAAAAAAUUUAAAAAGAAGAAAGGUCAAGAUUGACUUACACCAGGCAUAUGUUCAAGUAUAUUUACAUGACCUGAUCAUUUUUUAUACACCCAGGUUUUACAAAAUCCAAAAUUAAACUACCUGGUACCCGUAUGAGCUUUACAUUUACAAUAAUUUGAAUUUCACAAAGCACUUCACUCAUGUGAUCAGAAAAUUGCUCUCAUCCUCCUCUUAGAAUGGUAUCUUUAGGCAUGCUUAUGGUAACUUCAUCUUGACCGAAAAACCUCUCAAUUAGCGUGAGAUGUGUUCUCAUACAAGGACUUUAAUUUGAUCAAUUGUCUUUUAUUUUUGCUAUUUUUCACAUUCUGUUGUCUGCUUGAAUGAAAAGUACUUCAAUGCGAAUCAGGAUACCCUCUUUUCUUUUCUGAAAAGCGGAAAUAAUCUUUUAAUAUUAAUAAAAUUAUACUUAUAAAAAAUGUUGUGAAUUAUAUUCAUGUCUAGACUUGUUUGAUCCUAUUAAUUGAUACAGGCUCCAACAGUUGUCUUCAUUUUUGUGAUACAGUUAAGUAAGCAAAGAGUGAUUUUGGAAACAAAAGAAUGUAGCUACAAGGGGGUCAUUUCAAUAAAUUAACUAUAGAAAACUACCACAAUAGUAACAGAGGGGCUUCUAGAUAAUAGUUUCAGAAAUUAAAAGGGUGUUCGUGCCACUUUUCGAAACCUCAAGGGUGUAAAUGAUCUUUACAGUACUAAAGAGUGCAGACAAAAAGGAAUGACUUGAAAGAUAAAUAGUUCCGUAGACCAAGUAGAUCUCAGGCUUUGUGUGUGUGUGUGUGUGUGUGUGUGUUGGGGGGGGUGAUCAUCAAGAUUUUAUUCCUCUUACACUGUAUCACAUAAAAAAGUUUAGUAUGUUUAAACUUAUUCCAUUUAUAUUCCGACAGGAAGGAGAGAGGAAAAAAGCUUUGGUUGGUUUUGGAGAUCAUUGAAAAAAGAUUUCAGUUAGAAAACAGGAACUCAAGAUACAUGGAUAGCAACCAUGUACAUGAAGCCACCAUAUCAGAUCCAAGGAAAUGUAACGAUAACACAUGAGUCAGAUAUUCACAUGAGUUGCUGGGAAGUGAAAUGAUGAUGAUAUCAUCAAGUAGCCGCUUUUAGGUUGCUCUCGUACGAAUUUGUUAGAACUUACAACAGCAGUUUUCUGCAUGAACAUAUAUAUAUAUAUAUAUUAAUAUAAUUCAGAAGAAGUUCCAAGUGAAUCAGGAGAUGGUCCGUCCGUAACAGGAUUGGUAAGUAGUAUGAGAAAAACACAAGAAGGUGGCUUAUUGUCAACUACUUUUUCAUCUAAGCUUCAGUCUCCGUCUGCUGAAGGUCCAGACCAAUAAUGUCAGCAACACUUCAUCAUGCAUGUACAGUCAACAUCAUGAGUGUCGCAACAGAAGGGCCGAGCAGAAUUAGCUUGUAAUCAUAUAUAUAUAUAUAUAUAUAUACUAGUUUUUUAGCCCUGACGCUAUGCGUCAGGUAGCUGAGACUCGUUAUUUUGGUGUUAUGUUUGUGUGUGUUUUUUUUUGUUAGAUAUAAUAGUCAUGUGUAUGAGUGUAUUUUUUUCCUAAUUACACAAAUAAAUAUGACUUUGAAAUCAGGUUAUCUUACAUUCUUAAUAUAGUAUUAAUCAGUAAGUAAUGCUUAAUAUUAGGUAGAACUAAAAGGCAUAUGAUUAUACAUGUAAUGUGUAGCCUUGCUUAUUAGUCACGUUACUUCUCUAAGACAAGCAAUUUGACAAUUUCCAUUUUUUUGACACUUUCUAUUUGCUAGUACUUCACAUUUAACAAUCUUUUAUAGAAGAAAGAAAAGAUAAAGAAAGACAAUUAUAAAAUGGGUUUGUCAUUUUCUUUUGUUUGCUAGACUUGAAUGAGCAUUCAAACAUAUUUAAAAAUAUUUUCAAACCAAUGUAAAAUUGAAUUAAUAAUUUUUGUAUAUUCAGUAGUUUUUUUUUUUUUUUUGGAGAUUUUGAUGAUUUUGGUUUUGAUAAUUUGUAUUUAUUGAAUCAUUUUUUUCAUUCUCAAAAGAAAAAAAAUUGGACAUACUGUAACAGUUUAAAAAUUAUAAUCUAUUUCUUAAAUUGCAUUUUUUUUAAAGAAAGUUUAUCCUUUUACCAAAAACAGAAUGAACAGAACCAAGAACAAAAUGAGAGGAAAUUACUGACCGCCAAAAUGUUCCCAUCCAAGAGGCCUACGCGGACAGAAGAGCAGGAGUGAAAGUGGUAAUUAGAAGAGAGCAAGGAAGAGAGAGAGAAGGCAAAGCAAAGAACGUCCACCGAUUCCAAUGAGGCUAACUGCACCCACGUUUCCCCAAGCCACCGAAAAAUCAUCCAACCAACAAACACCCCCAGAGUUCAUGAAAAUUACGGAGUAACCGGACCAUUUGCCCACGCGGACAGGAGUGAAUUUCCAACAAAACCACGCCACCCAUCAGCAAAAGACCAAAACGCCCCUCAAGCUCACACAAAUCACGGCAUAACGGUCCAUCGGUACUGUUCACAAGCUAUUCGUGCUUUAUAUAUGUACUAGUUUUUUCUGCCCUGACGCUAUGCGUCAGAUAGCCUGGACUGUUUUUUUUUUUUUCUGCUGUGGUAUAUUUUUAUUACUUUUGUGUGUGUAUGUGUGUUUUUUUUUUUUGACAUACUUUCAAGAAAAGCGCUGAAGUGCAAGCCCUAGCUCUAUUCAAACACAAGGAAACUGUAAAAAAAAUUGUGAAAAUCCUGCCCAAAAACAACACAAUCGCAAAUUUAAAUUUAAUCACAACCCUACUUAAAGCCAUCUGCAGCAACAACUUCAAAGGAACAAAAUAUAAAUUCUAAUUUAUUUAGACAUUUUUUUCGACAGAAGAGGUAUCCGAUUGAACAGCAAAUGCAUUCUGCAGGCCUUCGCGGAGCUUCUUCCGCAAGCUUUCUUCUUUACGGUUCUUUCGAAUCUCGACCAUGUUGUUUAUUCCCCCCAGCAGCACUCUUCAGCGUCCAACGCCACUUCAGAAAGAUUAGUUCUAAAUUACAUCCCGAGUAGUUUUUCUGGGUUAGGAAAAUUAAAUUUGAAAGUUACGGAAGAUUCGUGGGAACUCUGCAAAAUGCAUUAAAAAAAGUGAGAAUUAGAGUAGAGAAGUUUAUUUUUAUCUUUUACCCUCUGAUUUUUGGGAUUGGCUCAAUAUGCCUAUUUAUCUUUGAACUCCAAUCGGAGCCUUGUGGUUUCCAAUGUCCUAUGCAACUAUAAAUCUCCCUCUAAUGCCAAUGGAAGGAGCUCUCCUCCUUCGUCGCCCACUUCUCCACUUCCUGUAAUGACAUAUUUAGUCAACCCCAACUCAAGAAAAAAUCCAACCAUUCACAUGAAAAUUGAAAUCCCAUGCAAUGAUAAAACCUAGAACACUUAAAAGUAAAAAAAUAAGAAGAAAGAGAGGCAAAACAAUUCAAAAAUGGAAUUACGGAGAUGGGAUUAAUUGGAAAAGGUGAUUACAUUUUUGUUGUGCGUGUAGGAAAAAUUGAGAGGGAAUCUACUGUAGAUUUCUAGAUAAGAUCAUGGAGAAAGAUGUGGUGUAGGGAAAAAUUAAAUAGGAAGAUGAUGAGUGAAAAAAACUGGCAGAGAAGGCCAAGAGAAGAACGAGAAAGGGCAAUGGAGAUUGCAGAGCUUUCAAGCGGUGGUGGUUCCAUUGUACCUCAAAUCACUGCUAAACUUGUUGCCGUCCGAGAACAGCACGUGGGGAAUGUUGAAGAAAGCCAAAAUUGCUUGGACACCUGGUAAAGAAAGCCAAGAAAAAGAAGAGAGGAAACAAGGCCGAAAUUGCCACCGCCAAAAUUGCUCCUAUCCAAUAAUAGCAUGCGGACAGCAGUGAAUUUCCACCAAAACCACUACCAUCCAAUGCCAGAAGACCAAAACACCACUCAAGACUCUAUUCCGACCCAUUGUCAAAACAUUAAUCUACAGCAAACCAUCAAAAUGCGCAAAUAAAGCAAAGAGUGGAGACUUUAGAAGAUCAGCUUGCUCAGAAAAUCAGCUAAGUGAGACAAUGAAGAUUUCACCUUGCAAAACCAAAGAUCACUGGGGACACCAUCCACUGCCUACUCACCAGUGGAGGCAAAGCAACUGCAAUUACACAAGAGAUUAGGAAACCAAACAUACGUGUGAGGCGUAAUAUACAUAAAGCAACAAGUGAAGACUAUUGAAAACUUUGCAAAACCAGAGAUCACUGGGACACCGUCCACUGCCUACUCACCAUCGGAGGCAAAGCAACUGCAAUUACACAAAAGCUUAGGAAACCAAACAUGCGUGUGAGGUGAAAUAUACAUAAAGCAAAGAAUGAAGACUCUAGAAAGCUUUUGCCGCCCAACCGCCCACUAACUUAAUAGUAAUUGCUGACUACCAAAGUGAAGAGCCACGCGGACAGAGCAUUGCUGACUACCAAAAUGAAGAGCCACGCGGACAGAGCAAGGUUACAAUGCAAGAGAGCCAGCGGACAAAAGCAAAAUACCAGCAGAGCCACUGACACCCAUCAGCAAAAGACCAAAACGCCCCUCAAGCUCACACAAAUAACGGCAUAACCGGCCCAUUUUUUACUGUUCACAAGCGGAUUCUCGCUUUAUAUAUGUAAGACUAGAUGUUUUGCCCUGACGCUAUGCGUCAGGUAGGUAUGAAAGAUAGAAGUUGAGAAAGGUGAGGCUGUGGCGGUGGUUUGUACUGGCGUUAGCCAGGUGUUGUUUAUGUGAUUUUGUAGUAUCUGAUUUGUAGUUUGCAUGAGUAGGAUUGCUACUUGUGUUUCAUGCGUUGAUUGUGUCAGGAAAAAUUGCCAAGUUGUGCUGAUUUUCUUUUGUACGUGGCCAGUUUCUUGCUACUAUAUAUAAGGACCUUCGUGUUUUGGGAAUGGUUAUGUGUGAUAUAUUUUUGGUUUGCUAGGUAGUAGUUUGUAUUUUGCAAAGUGUGUGUUUUUUUUCAGUUGGAUGGAGUCGCAGUGUGUUAGUGUUUGCGGAUUGAAUGAUAGAAUUCGAGGAUGGAUUGCUAAGUUAGUUGUCGUGGAAAAAACUUUAUUUCGGCGACCGCGGAAUUCGACUCGAAUGUUUUUUCGAGUUGUUUUUGCUGAUGCUUCUGUAAGGGCUUCUUAGACUUGUUUUUGUAAGUUUUAUUGUGUUUUUGUUUUGUUGAUAUGGAUAAUAGGUAUCUCUUUUUUUCAGGGUGAUACAAUUCAAGGAAUAACAUAUUUAUCUGAUCUGGAUGCUAUGGAUUGUGCAUUGGAGUUGCAUGGGACAUAUUAUAUUGCAAAUGCCACUAUACAGUGUCUACGUAGUUCACGGAUGCAGAUUGGGAUGGUUCCAUAUGAGAUUAUUAUAUCACAUAAUACUGUGAUUAAUCGUGUUUUACCUGAGCAUGCAUUAUCGGUGGAAAAUUUCUAUGAACUGACUCGUUUUUGCGAUUUGGAUUCUUUGAGGGUUAAUCCAAAUGCAAGGAUAAGUAUAACUUUUUUUUGUUUUUUUGGUUGUGGUGUAUUAGUAAGUUUAGGUAUUAUUGGUGUGAUUGCAGGCUAAUUUGUUAUUUUUAUAUGAUAGCUUUGCUUGGUGUAGCUGUUUAUGCUGGUCCGGCAAUAUUUUACGCCAUCGGAAAUAGACAAGUUCAUCUGCAAGAGUUUAUUAUCUUGAAUGAAGAGUAUGUUAUCAGUUUCUGUAUGGUUAGUUAAUAUAGUUAUAAUUAUAUUUUUUUAAUUGUGUUUGUUUAAUUUUAGUGUGUAUAUAAUUUUUGCAGGAGGAUACCAAUAGUGUUUUCAGUAUGGGAUGAUUAUUUUGAGGAUGAUGGCAUGCAUUUAGUUGAACUUAUCAACGAGCGACCAGUUGUUAUGAUUUGUCGUCCACGUAUUAGUCAUCUUCAUGGUAUAUGGGUUUUGAUUUUAGUUUUUAUUAUUUAUUUUAUGGUUGUGUCUAGGAUUUUGUUUAUGUAGAUAUUUUUUGUAUUUUUUUUUAUUCGCAGGUCUUUCUAUUGCAACUCAAGCGACUACCAUUAUUAUGUAUAAUCCUAAUUUGCUCGUGGCUCAGCAGCUAAGCAUUGGUAUGAUACAUUUGUUGGUGAUACUGGCUUUUGAGCAAUGAAAGUGAAGGAUUUUUGGCAUCGCUUGUGGUGAUAUUUCUGUUGGUGUUAUAAUAGCUAGUAUCUAAGAGUGAUUUGUGCAUAGUUUGUAGUUUUGGUGUGGUAUGUUACGGUUGUUAUUUCAUUGAUUGUUAUAAUAGUUGGUAUGUAAUAGUGGUUUGUGAAUAUUGGACGUUUGAUUUUUCCUCUUUUUUUUUUUUUCCUUUGGCUGGUUUGGAGUGGUAUCAUUGAAUCUAAAGUUUGUUUUUUUUAGAAGUAUUUUUUGGUGAAUUAUUUGAUUGUUUUUAGAAGGAUUUUUUAGAUAUCUUCUUGUUAUAUUUUGCUUAAUAUUUAUGUAGCUGUAAUUGAAUUAUGCUGAUGCGGUAUAAUUGUGUAUAAGAAGAAGAAAUCAAACUUUAAGCAAUGUAUAUGUAAGAUAUGUGCGAAUUUGAGUAGGAACAGGAUAAGUAGUUAUAUCUUACAUAUAUUUCAUUUACAAGAGCAACAAGAGCAAGAUAUAUUCAAAAGUGGCCUUGCUAAACUAACUGGCGUUUAUGUACAUUCCGCGCCUUAGGUAUAAAAGUGUCUAAGCAGGGUCUGCAUUAGCCAUUUGCAAUAUUGCUUGAGGUUGAUUAUAGAUAUAAUAUUGAUGGUAGGGCUGAGCAAAAGUGAUAGAAGGUGUGCUGAGUGAGAGAUUUAGAAGGUGCUGAGGUGUUUAUGGCUUUGGGCGUUUGUUGUGGGCUUCUUGAACUGGCUGAAGGGGGUGUUUUUGAUGUUGUUUGUUGCUUGAUUGACGUAAUUUGGUCAUUGAUGGUGGUAUCGAUUGAUGGUUCAUGUGUAGGUUCUUGGAUGUGCUUGGUUCGGUAGAGUCAAUCACAGUUGUGAUCUGAAGGUUACUGUUGUCGGCGGCUAGAUGGGGAAUAGUGUUUGGGGUCGGAGGGAUUGUAAGAUAAGCAACAACAAUGUAUCGUGCAGGCUGAAGUGUUUCUGAUGGUCGAAUGAUAUUUCGUAGUUGGAUGUAGAAUUGGGUAUCUUGGAGGUUGUUAUUGAUUAGCUGGAUGUUGAUUUGUUCAUGUAUCUUUUGCAUGUUUAUGAUUUGAUUUGCUCGGCUGACAUUUGAAGAAUAGACUCUGCAUAUUUGUCUUCAAUUAAUGCUGGUAGAAUACUUGUACCAUCAAAGAGUUGAACUUCAAAACGGAGCCUGCCAUUACAUCAAAUUGUUAAGCAUAAUAUUAGAAUAGGUACAAAAUUAAGUAGUAAUUGAUAAAGCAUAGAAAUUAAAUGCGAACCUUGGUAAUGGUUUUUGGUAAGUGAGAUGGCAGUAAAAGCAUUUGAAUUCUGUAUCAGUAUCAGCUCCUGUUGGUUUUGAACAAUCAGGUUUUGGACAACUUAGGUAGUAAAAACGUGUGUUUGUCACUGAGAUACGAAUCUGAGCCUUUAUCCAAAAGGGCCUGGUCUGUGAUUUCAUACGAUAUAUGUUAGGUAUUGGUAAUUUUAUCUGCAACUGAUUAAUAGCAGUAUGAUUAAGACUUACAUGUUCAGCUGUCAUAGGAAUUGUCGCUAUUUCUUGUAGUUGUGCAGUGGUUGGUGGAUGGAUAAUUUGAUUUGCUUUUUCAUAUAGUCUUUCUUUGAUUAUUGUUUGUAUGUAACAGCUAUUUUCCUUUAUCCUGCAUAAAAGUUGGGUUUAUGAAUCUGGUUGAUAUGAGGAUUAUAUAGUUUAAAUUAAUAGGAUUACCAGUUUCUCAAAGCUGUGGCUUGGGGGAUUUCUGGAUUGAAUAAUAUGAUAGUGGUUGCUUGUGUUCCCAGAGAAAUUGCUGCAAUUGAAUGUAAAUAAGAAUAUAGAUUGUGAAGGUGUGUGAUAAUUUUAUAUAGUUGUAAAUUUGUAUCAGAAAAUAAUAUGCUUACUGUGAUACGAGUUGACUUUUGGUCUAGCCAGUAAGAUGAUAGGUUGCUGAGGUGCCAUUGCUUUUAAUUGCGAUCCUUCGACAGAUAAGAAUUCUUCCCAUAUCGUAAAAGUCAUUGGUCGUUUUCUGCAUGUAUAGAAGUGUAAAUAUUAUGAAUUAGUAACAUAUGGUAGAGAAUAACUUUUAGUUAGAAUUGGCAAGUACUCUUCAUUAACGACAGCAAAUUCUUGGAUCGGCACAUAUCGUUUUCCUCUUGGCACUAAGCGAGGAGGUAGCGCAUGCAGGACAGCACAGAGGAUAUCUGUACAUCAGAGAUCAAUUGUAUUUAGACUACAUGUUUUGUAAAAGGCAGUGUAAGGCAGUGGAUGAAAAUCAUACUUAUUCUUGUUGAGUAAUCGCCAAUGUAAUUAUGUAGCUGUGUAAAGGGUGUUAAUUCAUAGCAAUCAUCAGAGGGCAAUGCAUCAUGUGAUGAAACAGCCUGAAUAAAUGUUCUUUUCGAGAUUGUUAACUGAUAUGGUGAAGAUGCAAGAUAAAAAGGGAUGCUUAUUUUUGUAACCCAAGCAUUUCCAAUGUAGUAGGUGGAAUAAAGCUGAAGAAUUGGCUCGAUAUCUUGAAUGUCUCUUUCGAAAAUAGUUCCUUGGAUGGUGUUUUUCUGCAUUUAAAAAUUGAAGAGAUGUAAUGAGUGAUUUUGUGUAUAAGUGUGUGUGAUAAUAGGUAGAUGAAUAAAAAUUUAUUUGGUUUGAUAUAUCUCACCAUAGCAUCAGCGAACACUAAUUUUUGAUAUGGCCUUCCAUCUUCUUUGCUAUAACGAAUUGCACUUUUUUCUAUCACAAUAAGUUUAGCAAACCAAUUUGAGUUCGUGUCUGUUAACUUUGGUAUCAGAACGCAUUUUCCCUCCAUGUUGAUACUGAAAAAAGAGGGAGCAAAGUAAAAUUAAUUAAUAAGUAAAGUAAAAGUUUCUAUGUAUUAUAUAUGUGAAGGAUUUAGUUUCAGGAGAGCUUGUUUGAAUGCAUUGCAAAAGAAAGCUAGGAAUGAAAUUACCUGGAUAGAUUGGAGAGCAAAGAUUCAGAAGCACAAGAAGAGGUUUGCGAAUCUGUGCAAGCUAAUGAGAUGUGUCUGUUGAGAUGGAAUUGAUUUAUAUAUAAUGAGUAAGGAUAGUGGAAUGAGUGAUAUGUGAUAAUGAGCAUUUGGUCUGGCGCAUUGUUAAUGGGAGACAGUAUCUAAUUGCAUGUGGUUAGAAGCUGCCAGAGAAAGCAUGUAAUGAUUAAAAUGGUGCAUGGCAGAUAGAGAUUACGUGUUACACCUACCAAUGAGUUUUACAUGUGUCAUGCAAUGAAAUUAGAAACGAUUGCUGCAUAUUGUGAAGGACAUCUGGAUAUGGCUUUCAUGAUACAGGUAGCAAUAUAGAAGGUACAGGUGUUUAAGUCGGGUGUUGUUGAAGGCUCUAAGCUGGUAAACUCAUUGGAGGUUAGCAAAAUAAAAUUCCUUUGGAUCUGUUAUAAUCUCUUUAUUUCUUAGAUGUAUUUCAAAGCUAGCAAUAAUUUCUGGUCUCUAAAUAAUCAUGACAGCUUGCAUUUGAAUGAGCACUUCUAACCUGUGGGAAUGUCAUACAUUUUAAGGCAUUGGCUGGUGGGACUUUGUGGCUGGAUUUAGUCGCAAGCAAGAUUGCAGCAGAGUAGUGGAUUACUGUUGGAUCUGCUAUAGGAAACAUUACUUGCAGGUCUUUCUUUUAUUCUCCAUUUUGUUUUGAGCAAGUCGUUGGAUGAUAGAUUCCUUUUCUCUCCUUUUUCAUUUUGUUUAGACUUGUAUCCUCAAUGUUGUUUGUUCUUGCAGCAAUUCGGUGAAUAUCUACAUGGGAAUUGGUAUUCCGUGGCUCAUUGAUACAAUAUAUGACUUCAUCGCAUACAAUGAAUUGUUGCGCAUACACAAUGCUGAAGGUACCUGGGGAGAGGAAAUGAAGAGAGAGGCAGCAGCUAGGAGCUGGGAGAUAGUAUCUGGGAGUGGGAGGUCUAAUUCUGAGGGGGGUUUUGACUUUAUAUUUUUUAUUCUAAUCAAAAUUGGCGAACAGAAUUUAUAAGAAAAUAGAGAAGGUGCUUUUUUAUUUUCCUUUCGACUCUAUUUUUUUCCUCCCCUAAGUAGUUUAUCCAUAUUCAUUUCCUAGUAUAGGGUAUAUAGGGUAGUGAAUGAGAGUUUCUUACCAUGUUCUUAAUUUCCUUAGACUCGUAUCUUCUGUGGUGCGUUGCUAGAGGUGUAAAGGGUGUCAGCUGGCUAUUUAUGCGAGAGAAUCAUUUGUUUUCAAUUUGGACAUCGUUUGGUUACUGCAACUGUUGCUUUAUGUAAUAGCAGCUUUCUUUAACCUUUUUUUUUUUUGAAUUUGUUGUGAUUUGUAAAAGAAUGUCAAGCACCACCUUUGCCAUUGUAGAUCCAGGACUUGCCAUUGAAUCCAAGAUUUUCGUUCCAAUGCUCUAAUUGGUCUUUUGACUUAAAUGAGACUCAGAAAAAACAUGUUAAUUGCAUAUUCCAGUUGAAUCUGGAAUUUUGACAAAGAUGUGUAACUUAUAUUUAAUCAUAAACUUUUUGUUGUAAUCAUGAUUUCUUAAGAAGGAUUUCAUGAUUUUUCGUCAAUAAAAAAAGCGAUAAGGUGUCACUUGAUUAUAAUAAUGACUGAUGCAGUAGUUCAAAACCUUUUAUGCAGGAAAGUCUUUAGAACCAGAAAGCUCUAAGCAAGGCAAGUAGUUAAGGAGAAAUGAAAGAUGUACGGCUAAUAUUUUCCUAAUAAAGAUGAAAACAUUAUACAGGGAGAACUGGACCGCAAAUACUUGAUUCAUAAGCUGGAGAAUAAACUUACGAAUUUCUAAAAUGAAAACCCUUAUACUUAGUGAAAAUGGCACUUGACAACAAAAGGAUAAAGUGCGACACCAAAACCAAAUGCUCUGUAGAAACAGAAUCAGCCACAAAAAUCAUAUAGCUAUAAACAUAACCUUCCUAUGGCAGUAUAUGUCUAAUGAAUCUUCAAUAUGGUUCAGCUUCAAACAGCAGCAUUUGUACAAGCUGUCGCUGCAGCAGCUAAUGCUGCCCUGCUUCGACUAUUCCAGAUAUGUCGUGGUACGGUAUUAUUUGGACUUCAUAACUUGAUGAAAGCAAAACAAGAUCAGCAGGAAAGAAUUCAUCCUUCUUCACUUUCAUUACAUCUCCAAUUUUCAAAUCGAUGCACUUGAUGUAUUGGAAACUUCUAUGAUUGCUGUAUACUUUAACUAACCUGUUGUUUAUUUCAAUAUCCUGGUAUUAUUCCCAAAUCUUUAUUAUAUACUGGGUGAAAAAGAAAACACGAAAUACAGAUUAAACAAAUCAAAACCAAUUGCAGAUCAGCAAUCUUUAAGCAAUUUAACAACAGAAGAAGGCAGCAAUGGAAAGUUCAAGACUUGCAAAAGGACGAGACAAAUGUGGACAUAAAAACUUUGGAAGUGAUAAAAUUGGGCAAAGAACAUGAGAAAGAAGUGUAUAGGAUGACGAAGUAGGAGCUUUUCUUCCUCCUGAAAGGAAAAUGAGAAUAAGGGAAAGAGGAAAACGAAAAGGGAAGCCAAAGUUUUCUGUGCAUCAUCGUUUUAGAAUUAUUCUAAAAUGUUGUAUCUGGAGAAGCAUUAGCAGAACAGUGCAGUAAUUGAUUACCUACAACAUGUACCUUCUUUUUGAAACAUCAAUGCCACAUUUCGGAACAAAAAUCUUGACUGAUUUGUCAGAGUAACACCUAUGAACUCAGGUAGACCAGCUACAAGAUCAAUGAUGCAUGAUAGUUAGGCUUAUUAAAUUCCCCUUGCAUUAAAAUUCUAGAAAUUAAUUGCAAAAUAUGGUCCAAAACCAUAUAAAAACUACUGGAAAAUUUACUGCAAUUUGACAGAAAAUACUGGGAUUAUUGAUAAGCUACAAUACUUCAAUGUACUCAGAAGGGGCAUUUGAGCUGAGCUCCUGGACACAAAUCCGAUGGUUAUUGAUAAUCUAAGAUCAGAAAUGUCACUUACUUCUGAAUCUCCUCCAUCUUUAUCUUCAGCUUUUCACGCUCAGCUUCAGUAUUAAUGCUCCCUCGAAGUUCCAGGUAGACAGAUACCACUUCGUUUACAACAGAUACUGCACAUCCAGCUGGAGAGACGUCAUUCUCACCUAAAACCUGCACAUUUUGAUCUUUUUAAGGUCACAAGGAUAAGAGAUUGGAAAAGGAUUAAAAAUGCCACAAAAGUAGGGCAAAAGAAGAGGAUCAUUGCAAAAAACUAAUGUUGAAAAGCCUAGCCCUCCAAUUAUAGAAUACUCUAAAGAUUCUUGCCUGGAUAUAUUACUGAUUCUACUGAAACUUUGCUUUUUUCUUUUGACAGCAGUCAUCUUCAGCAACUGUGAGCUUGUUAUGCCAAAUUCAGAAUAUAACUCUAAUAGAGUGAUCAAAUUUUCACUUUUCAGUAGUGAAUAUGCUAUCUUGCAGAAAUAUUGAAGUUUCCUGAUGAAAAUAGACAAAUGGCAACAGAUAAAAGUACGAAUUAGAUUCCAAGAAAGUCAGUUUCUUGGAAGGAAUAGAGAAGCAAAUGGUAAUUCUUGCAGUGUCUGUAAUCAUCAUAGAGAAGGAAUUGUUCUGCAAAAAAUAAUUGCAUUUGAAAUGUUAAAUUUUAGGACAAUAUCAAAAUGCUAUAAAUCAAGUAGGAAAUGAAGAAGUGAUAAAUCCUACACCUUGAUACAGAUUUUUUCAGCUCAUGAAACAUGGAACGGGGAAAAAGGCAAUCCAUGGCAAAUUGUAUUAUAAUUAACAGGACCUGAAGCUAGUAUGGAUAACUUAUUGUUGAUCGAGGAUGACAAAUGUAUUGCACUUGCAGAGGAGUAUGUGUACCUUGCUAAUUUUGCUUACUUAGGAGGGAUAGGCUUGGCAGUAUUGACACUGAUUUUGCCUUUACUUCUAGGAUCAACAACAAUUACAACUUUUUCUUCAUCUUCUAUUCCAGCCAGUUGAUGAAACCUGACUUUGUUCUUGACCAGUCCUUUCUCUGUUAAGAAGUAGAAGAAAGCUCAUGUUUCUUGAUUGUAGACCUUGAGCUGAACAUUUUGUUUUUCCUUCUUCUUUCUUGGAAUGUACACUUUUUGCUGCACUCGUGCCAUCAAACAUAUUAACUAAUAAUGAUAUGAUCAGGCUAUUGGUUGCCGAUGGAUGAUGCUUCAUGAAAAUAGCAGACUUGUUCAUUUGUGAAACAAAUUUGGCAUUACCUACUUUCACAAAGAAAGCAGUAAGGAAGUAUAAACAAAAUAAAUUUGAAAUGGAAAUUAGGAUAAAGAGUUAGAUAACAUACCUUAAUCUGUAUCAAUAUGAAUUGCUAGCAUAUAUUCAUUAAUCAUUCAUGAUUGCAGAUAAGACCUCUUUGUAGACUAUAUUUUUUGUAAGAUUUGUUACUUUGGAAAACAGAUUUGGAGGUCGUAUUAAUACUUUAACAUUACUUGAUGUCCUGCCACGUGAUAAUGCAACAUAUAAUUGGCCAUGGGAGAAAACAGGCUCUUUUAGAUAUAGACCGACAUAAUCCAAUGUUUGUCCUUGUGCUUUAUUAAUCGUCAUUGCAAAACAUAAUCUCAGAGGAAAUUGUGUUCUUUUGAAAGGAACUGAGCAGAAAUCAUCAUCAGAAGUUUGCAAAGGAAUUCGAGGAAUAAAGACAUGUUUACCUUUAAGAGAACCGCAUGCAAUCUCUGCAUGUAUUACAUUGUUUCCAAAUUCUUUGCAUAUCAAUCGGGUGCCAUUAGAUAGGCCUUCAGUAGGGUUGAUGUUUCGAAUCAACAUAACAGGACAAUUAAUCUUUAAUGUUAGCCUAUGAAGAGGUAAACCUUUGGGCAUUAGUGAAUUCAAAAAAUCUUGUGUCUCUGAUUGAUGAGAUGAAUCAAGGACUUCAUCAUAGCUUAAAUAUACCUGUUCUGUACCUGGAAAUUUAGCAAUGACUUUGUUAUUAAUUUCAAAUACAAAAUCAUUUCUCGUCAUUAAAAUUGCAUGGUUAACAAUAGAAUCCGGGCAAUGAGCAAAAGCAUUUAAAUCUGGAAAUACCGCGGUGAUCAAGGCAUCAACUGAUGAAUCAUCAUUGAGAAAUACCAAAUUCAUUCGUUCAGGUACACAGACUUCGUCAUUCUGGUUUGUUGCUUCGAUACCAUUACCAAUUCGAAGAAGGUAUUUAGAGAAAUCCGGAUCUAGCUGAGCUCGCAUGUUCUGGGAUAGUUUCAAUUUUAUCAGGUACGGCCAAAUAGGAGAUGUUAUUAAGCUAGCAUUGACGAUUUCUUCUUUACACCCUUUGGUCACCACUGGUAGUGUUUGUCGAAAGUCUCCACCAAAAACAAUGAUCUUGCCACCAAAUAUAGCAUCUUUAUUCAUGAUAUCUUUUAAUGAAUCAUCAAAUUUUUCUAUCGAACUGCGUUUUGCCAUGCUUGCUUCAUCCCAAAUAAUUACUUUUGCAUCUCUUAUUAAUUUAGCAAUAGCACUUUGCUUCCCAAUAUUGCAAGUUGCUGUAUCAUUAUCUUGUAAUGGAAUUUUGAACCUUGAAUGUGCUGUACGCCCACCAGGUAAAAUUGAAGCUGCAAUUCCAGAUGUUGCAGUUGCUAAUGCUAUGCCUCCUUUCGAUCGUAUUGCUGCAAGUAGAGCCCUGUAUAAAAAAGUUUUUCCAGUUCCACCUGGCCCAUCUAAAAAGAAUGCACAUGAGAUGUUAUUAUCAAUAGCAUGCAUAAUCUUCUCAAAUGCUAAUUUCUGGUCUGAGUUUAAUUGCUCCAAUGCACCAAGAUCUUCAUUAGAUACAACUAUGCUUUUUUCAACAUCAACUUCCUUACUGUUUAGGUCCUGCGACAAUUGUUCAAGCUGAAUGUCAGUUAAAUUGUAUUCAGCAAUGUUUUUUCCCAUAGACCGAAGACUUGAAUCAAUCAGUUGAAGCACUUGUAUUUGCACAGAAUGUGGUCGGACUGAUGUAUUAUGUCGAAUAUCUUCAGAUAAGAAAUCUUCAUAUUUCAACCACAACUCUCGUGGGUUUUUAGGAGUACAAUAAGCCAGUAUAGAUGCAAAGAGUUGUCUAAGAGAACUUGGCAUUUGGUAUGCAGAGGCCUCCUGUAAGCAAAGUUCAGCAGCAUUGUCGGAAUGUAACAGUCCAAGUAAAUUUGCAGCUUCUUUAUAUGUUUGGCAUGCAUAUCCAUUGACAACUUUUAAAUGUUGGAAAGAAGUAGGUUUUCUAACAUGCAUUAACAACAUUCUUAAAUAAUAACGCUCCCCUCAGUAGGAUGAGCAGUUAAAAUACGACCUAUAACUUCUUUUUUUUUUCGUCUAGUCCAAUAUUUUGAUUGUGCAUUCCAAGUAAAAUGCUCAGGAAACUCUAUAUAUAGACAAUUCAAAUGCUUGGCAUGUUCAUCAUAACAAUUCAUGCUAAAAAACUCUGUAAGCAUUGUUUGUGAGGAACGUGGGUUAUUGAUUAUAUUUUGCAAUGAUUGGUUUUCAUCAAAUGUAACUGAUUGUUUAUUCUCCAAAUGAAGUUGCAAAGGAAUUACCGAUGGAUGUAUUUCAUUUAAGUCAAAUGCAUAGAUUCUCCCAUAGUUAUUAAACCCGGCCCGGCCCGGCGGUCGAACCGUUCGAACCGGUGACCCGGUCAUCAAACCGGGCCGGGUUACUAGUUAGAUCGGAAUUGCAAAGAACCCGUCUAGACUCGUUCGACUCGGACGGUUGAACCAUGGAACCGCUAGAACCGGCGGUUAUUGAUAAAUCCGGUGGGUUUUGGCAAUUUUUUUGAAGUUACCAUUUUACCCAAUUCUUUAUUUUGACCAUUCACAGUACAUGGGCAUUAUCAUCUUUUCGCUACAUUUUUAGCCAAUUAGAAGAGAAAAUCAGAAAAAUUGAAAGGGAUUCGGGCAUUUGGGCAUUCGGCCGUCAUUGGGGAUUUAGGCAUUUAGGGAUUCUUUUCUUCUUUGUUUCUCUUGAGAAGUGAGAACGAAUUGAGAUUUGAGAACUUCUUGAGCAUUUAAGGAUUCGGCAAGCAAUGUUCCAAUUUUUCGGCUUUCAAUUUUUCAGGGCUACGGCUUUCAAUUUUUCUUUCCUUUGCUUUGCUAAUUGCUCUAGCCUCUGAGAGUGAAGUUCGAACUUGCCGCAGCCGCUGCUAGAAUUCUUCUAGGAAGCGCCGCUGCCACCGAAGCUGCCAUUGAAGGGUGAAGCUUUGUUGCCGGUUGCAACUGGACACACACCACGGCACCUUGGAAGUUCGAAGUUGCCGCAGCCGCUGCCGCCUGCCAGAAUUCUUCCAGGAAGCGCCGCUGCGACCGAAGCUGCCAUUGAAGGGUGAAGCUUUGUUGCCGGUUGCAGCUGGACACACACCACGGCACCUUGGAAGUUCGAAGUUGCCGCAGCCGCUGCCGCCUGUCAGAAUUCUUCUAGGAAGCUGCCGCUGCCACCGAAGCUGCCAUUGAAGGCUGAAGCUUUGUUGCCGGUUGCAGCUGGACACAGACGGACAGACCACAGCACCAGUGAAGCCUUGAAGGUAAGUAAAACGGAAAUUUAACUGAUGACAUGCUUCAAGAAAGUGGAAAUUUAACCUUUGACAUUUUAAUUACGUCUGUUGCCGAAGGCCACGAACCCAUUCUGUUAAAAAAAAGAGGUUGAGCCAUAUUUCACCUUGCAAAUACCUCAAGCCCAAGUUUAACAGCUAAUUCGAGAGUAUUUGAAGCUAAGUAUUCAAGAAUAUCCCUAAUCCAUAAAAAAAAAAUUAAAUCUCAGCUAUUCCUCAAUAUUGGCUCAGCUGAAUUGCAAAAUGUACCACCAAAAAAAAAUGACAGAUAACUGAUGCGACAUAGAUUCUUGCAUUAGCAUGUGACUAUAUUUUAUUUGAGUACAUACAUCGAAUUUCUGCUCUAAAUUAAACCAUGCCAAAUAAUCUGAAUUGAGUUUUGUUUCAACGUUGAUUUAGAUCAAUUGCAUGUGAAUUGGUCUUGCCAAAAAUAAUUAGGAUACGUGAACAUUAGCUAUUCGAUAGAUUAUGUUUAAUAUUAUCCAACAAAAAAUUUAAAAAGAAAGGCAUUGGGAAAGGUUGUGUAACUUGUGUUACAAAAUAAAAUCUAUAUAAGUUUUUUUUAAUUAUUAGUCUUGCACAAUUAAAUUAGUCGAGACACCUUGAAUUACCAAAAAAUUUUAUGAUAUUAAUGGCUAAUAUGCAGCUCGGGGCAAAUAUUUUUUGAUUGCAUAUACAAAGGACAUUCACUUCUUAUAAUAUUUGUAGUAAUAACUCAUAGUACCUUCUUUUCUCUUUUCCUUUUUCAUCUUCUUCUAUAUGUAGUAAGGGAAUGCCAUAUAUAAUUUAGUAGUUUUUCUUUCCAAAAAAAAAAGUGAUAUGGAGAAAUCAAUAUACAAGAUACAAUAAACAAAGGUUGUUUAAUUCUUCUUGUGAUUCCUCCCAUAGCUUGAAUCUUGAUACCAUAUUUCAUUUCAUUCCCCAAACAUCAAAAUCAUGAAUAGUGAUAUGGAUCCAUCUCAAUCGAACUUUCAAGGGAUAAUGACAGUAAGGCAUUUAGCUUUCCAUUAUGUUUGCAUUUAAGUUUCACUUUUUCGUUUCAAUUAAGGCAUAUAUAAAUGUCAUUUUCCUAGCUAUAAAUGUUAUUUUUUUAAAUAAAAGAUAUGUUUUAUUACUUUUCAGAUAGCUUGUAAUGGACUCUAUUGGAGAAACACCGUCUCAAACACCAAGUACAGAACCAACACCUAGUACAUCAAAUUCUCAAAAUCAACCUCUAACAAGGGGAAAGACAGACCCUGCAUGGUCUCAUUGUAGAGAAGAUUCUGUGUCCAACAAAAAAGUUAAGUGCUUGGUAUGUAUUCAUUGUGGAAAAAGAAUUCGAGGAGGUGGUAUCAAUCGAUUCAAACAGCACCUUGCAGGCUUAAAAGGGGAGACAACACCUUGUCUGAAGGUUGAUGAACAGAUUAGAUUUGAAAUGCUAGAAAACUUGAAAGCUGUGGAAAGCAAGAAAAGAAGCUUGAAAGAACGCUCAAGGGGAAGUGAUUUAUAUGGUCAAGAUCUAAGACAACAUGAAGAGGAGGUAUACAUGCAAGAUGUAGAAGAUAUUCAAGAGAUUCAACCACCUCCCACUAGUGAAGUUUCAAAAGGAAAAAAAGUUCUUCAACAACACAAAAAAGGAAAAACAAUAGGGACUUUUUUUAUGCCAAGAGCUACUCCAGGAGGUCAACCAUCCAUCAAAAGUGUGAUGCAAAGCAAAGAAACUAAAGAGAAGGUUGACUUGGCAGUUGCGAAGUGGAUGAUUGAUGCUUCCAUUCCCUUCAAUGCAGCAAACUCUGCAUAUUAUCAAACAAUGUUUGAUGCUGCUUGUUCUUUUGGGGCUGGUUACAAAGCGCCUAAUUUCUAUGACUUGCGUGGCUAUUUAUUGACAAAAAAUGUUGAGCAAGUUAAGAAUUUUGUUAAUAGCUUUCGUACAAGUUGGAAAGAAACUGGAUGUACUAUUAUGGCUGAUGGAUGGACUGACCAACAAAGGAGAACUCUCAUCAACUUUCUAGCUUAUUGUCCUAGAGGAACUAUUUUUCUGAAAUCAGUUGAUGCCUCGGAUGCUUCUAAGACUGCAGAGAUGUUGUAUAAGUUGUUUAGAGAAGUGGUUUUAUUUGUUGGGGUGGAAAAUGUGGUACACUUCGUCACUGACAAUGCUGCCAAUUAUGUUGCUGCAGGAAGAUUAUUAGAAAGGGAAUUUCCAACACUUUAUUGGUCUCCAUGUGCUGCUCAUUGUCUAAAUUUGAUGCUACAUGAUAUGGGCAAGUUAGAUGAGGUUAGUAAAGUGGUUGGACAUGCUUCAAAAAUAACAAAAUACAUUUAUAAUCAUUGUUAUCCAUUGCAUUUGAUGAGAAAACACACUGGUGGAAAAGAAAUUAUUCGGCCUGCUCCUACACGUUUUGCUACUAAUUUCAUUGCAUUGCAAAGUAUUUUAGUGCAAAAAGAUGCUUUAAGAGCUAUGGUGACUUCAAAAGAAUGGACUCUUUCAGCAUAUGCUAAGGAGAGUAAAGCAAAAAAAUUUGUGGAUCUUGUGCUAGAUUCUAUAUUCUGGAAAGAAUGUGCUAUAAUAGUUCAAUUAACUGAGCCUCUUGUUCGAGUUCUAAGAAUUGUUGAUAGUGAUGAAAGGCCUGCUAUGGAUACUUGUAUGCUGCCAUGCAUAGAGCCAGAGAAGAGCUUUUGAGAAGAUUCACAAGAAAAAAAAAACAGUUGAUCCUUAUUUAAGAAUAAUUGAUUCAAGAUGGGAUAGUCAGCUUCACAAAAAUCUUCAUGCUGCCGGUUAUUGGCUCAAUCCUGCUUAUCAAUAUAAUUCUCUUGAUUUGGAAAAGCACAGGCAUGCAACAUCAGGACUUUUGGAUGUGAUUGAGAGAUAUUCUUAUGCAAAUCCUGAUUUGAUGAGUAAUUUGACCGGAGAGAUGAGAUUAUUUCGUAAAGCUGAAGGUGAUUUUGGUAGAGUCUCUGCUAUACGAGAUCGUGAUGUCAUGCUUCCAGGUACCCAAAAAUUAACUUCAUUUUUAUUGAUGAUUUGAUUUUAAUUGUAAAAUAUUAUAUUCUGACUUUUUUCCUUUAUUUAUUGCAAUAGAUGAAUGGUGGACAUGUUAUGGUAGCACUGCACCUAAUUUGCAAAAACUAGCUAUACGUGUUCUAAGCCAAACUUGCAGUGCUUCUGGCUGUGAAAGGAAUUGGAGUUUAUUUGAGCAUAUCCACUCAAAGAAGAGAAAUAGAUUGGAGCAUCAAAGACUAAAUGAUUUGGUUUAUGUACACUACAAUUUAAGACUACAACAAAGGUAAACUACAUUUUGCAAUCUGAUUUUUGUUUUAAUAUGACGACAUUUGUUAUUUAACUAGUUUUAAUGUUUUGUAUUAUUAGAAAUGCAAGGGGUAGAAAUUAUGAUCCUAUUGAUUUUGAGGACUUCAGCGCCAAUGAAACUUGGAUUUUGGAUGAUGAACCUUCACAAUUAACUCCAGUUGAAUUAGAAAGCUUUAGGAAUGAAAUAGCUACAUUUGCUAUCAGCCGACAAAGUGGUGAGUUAUUCUAUUUGAGCCAUAUGCUUGCUUAUUCUUUGUUAGUUUGUUUUUCGUUUUUGGCUAAAUAUUAUCUAAAUUUAGAGAAUAAUUCAUUGAUUUUUGUACUUAUGUAGAUGAAACUCUAAAUUUGGAUGAUUUGGACACUGGAGAUGAAGAUGAGACCAAUAAUGAAGAGAAUGUUGAAAGAAAUGAUCUUAAUGUGGGCUGUGAUGUAAAUGAAUUUGGUGGUACUGAAUUUGGCAGAAGUUGGGAACCAUGGCAUGAAUAAUAGAUGGAGUGAACUACUCAAGUGAUAAUUGUGGUGUUGUUUAUGUUCAUGACUUUAUGUUUGGUUGUAUUGAAUUGGUCGUUUAUGACUUAUGUUUCAUGGUUUGAUACUUAUAUUUAUCAUUUAUAUUUGUGUGUAAUUUACUGAUUUUAGUUUGAAUUCAUGAAUUGUUGAUCACAUAUGGUUAUGGAUUAUGUGUGUGAAAUGAAUUAUGAACUAUGAACUAUGAACAGGUUAUAACUUGUUGGGAUUUAAGAAUUUCUGUAAUUAUAUUAUAAUUUACAUGUUUAUUUAAUUAUAUUAUAUAUUUUUUUAUUAUAUAUUGUGACCCAACGGUUCAACCAGUGAUCCACCGGUUGAACCACUGACCCGUCAACACCCGGUCCUCUUGCCGGUUGAUGUCCGGUUGGUUUUAAUAACUAUGGAUUCUCCACAUUGCUUCAGGAGGAGAGACCCAUCUUGCCACAAACAAAAUUUUUUAUUUCGUCAACAAUUUCAAUAGGCCCAGUAUUACUCACCUGAUAUAAAAUUUUAUCAUGGCCUUUAUAGAUAUAUUUAUAUAUAUAUUUGACAGCCUGAAUUGUUGAACAAUUUCUACAUUGAUAUGGCAAUUAAAUUUAGAGAGUAAAUAGCGGAUUGUAUGGUAUUACCCAUCGAUUAUCAAGAGGAUGGCCCACGAACAAUUAUUGAUUGCUGAAAAUCUCGUCGUCGAUAGAGAGGGUAGGAGUUGUGGCUGUGCCGUGUGAUUUCUGUAAACUCCUUAGGAUAGUUAUCCUUGCAUCCAAGAUGUUGUUUCAUGCAUGGGCAUUUUGGAUUCAUAGCACCACAAGGACCGUGCAUCAUGUGCUUAACAACGAGUUCAUGAAGAUAAGGAUGGCGGCUAGCAUCUGGCAGCUCAGCACAUACUACACGAUCAUAUGAUUCAGGAGAGUACAUCUUCCAUCCUUGUUUCAGAAUUAUUAAGAAAUGAGCGUGGGGCAAACCUCUUUUCUGGAAUUCGAUUACAUAUGUGUAAGCUGCUAUUUUUCCAAAUAUAUUCUUCUUCAGAAGUUCAUCUUUCAAGACUUCAAGUUUUGCACGGAAGACUCGAGAAAUUAGAUCUGGCCUGUUCUCAACUUUAUCAGUUGGCAGAAGCAAUUUUUUAAUCUCAGGCCAAUUCUUGUUACAAGUCAUUGUCAGAAAGAUGUCUGGUUUCCCAUAUCUUUGAACCAAAGACAUAGCAUCCAUAUAUCGGCGUCGCAUAUCUCGAGGCCCACCAAUGAAUGAAGCUGGAAGGAAAAUACGUUUACCAAUACCUGAUGAUGAUGAUUCACCAUUGGAAAUGCUAUCGACUAUGCCUUGAUAAAAUCUCAGUUCGAAGUUGAGCCUGUUUGUUCCUCCCUCUAUGGAAAUCUAAUCUAAUUGACUCAAUCUUAACAUACAUAUCGACCACGUAUUGUUGCAGUAAUCUGCCUAUAUGCAAUAACAUUGACUGAUCAGCAUCUCGAAUUUGCAGUUUGUAACAAUAGUACUCACGACAUGAAACCGUGUUCCGUUUUCUUUUUUUUUGGUUAAUAGCUGAAACAAACAAAUAAUGAUAUUUAUGUUAUUUAUCGAUAAAGAAAGAUAAUAGACGAUGCUAUAUGGAGAUGAUUAUUGGUAAUACCUCUAUUUUCCGCAUCAAUGAUAUCAUUUGCCGUUGUUGCUGUAGCUGUAGCUAUAACAGUUUGUCCCUCACAAGUAACUGGUCUAAUAUUGCCUCUAUCCGGACGGCGCAUUCUCUCAAUCCCUGGAUGCCAACCUGGUUCUCCAUUUGCAAAGAUAAGAGGAUAUUGCAAUGAAUCAUGACAAGCAAAGUAAUGCUUAACAAUUUGCGUUUGACCAUUCUUUCCAUAAAUUUGUAUAUGUUUAGAGUUAAGAUGUUCAAAAUCUGAACUAUCAGUCCAAACAGCUCCUACUUGUGACACAGUAGGUUUAUUGAAAACUCGUUGAUCUAUAGCAGGCGUAGUUUCAAGCACAAUCUUAUAAUCAUCCAUGUCUGGCAAAUCUUGUAAUCCUCGAAAGAAUGCAGAGUAAGGAUUGAUCUUUAAAAUUUCCUCAAGCUUUGUCACCAGUGUUUCUUGAAAUCUAGCUGAAAUUGAAAGCCGCUGCGUUGUUUCAUGCUCAGUGUCAAAAAAAUAAAGCUGCAAGUUUCGUGGCUUCUCACCAUCCUCUGGAAUAAGCGCAUUAAUAUAAUGAUACAUUUGUCCUUGGAUUCGAAAUGUAUAAAUUCCAUUAUAAUUUGCAGCCAAAGAUUUGUCAGAAUGAAUACCAAUCGAGGUAAAUGCAAACAUAUUAUUAUAGCUUCUAACGCAUCUGCGAAACUCGACAGCAUGAUCAGAAUCUUCAAUAUAUAAUAACAUAAGCUCUCCGGCAUCUCAGUAGAUAAUAGCUGUAUCUCACCAGAGGAACAGCAAAAACCAGGCGGUUCGUGAUGAAAUCGUUUUGCAUGACAGUACGGACAAUUUGGAACAUCAGGCAAUACUGUGGGCUCAAUAGCUAUCGUGGCUAACGGAUCAGUAACAGAGCGUCUUACAGAUCGACGUUUUCUACGUAAUGGUGAUUGACCAAUACCUAUAUUAGUUGAUGAAACCUCGUUAGCACUAUCAACAAUAGAGCUAGAUACAUUUUGUUCAUUUUCCUGCAAUACAACGACAGCAUAGUUAAAGAUUGGGAGUUUAACACGCUUAAAUAAGUCAAUCUGAUCUGUAAUAGAUAAAAGCUAACAUCUCAUACCAUUGGAAAUUGCUCUGCAUUAUUCUGUGUAGAUGGCAGCACUGGGUCUGAGCCUAAUGAAGAUUCUGCAGCACUCAUAUUUGGCUGAUUAAUAGUAUUUGGUUCACGUAUAUUAAAAGCUGUGACAGCCAGCGUACACACUCCUGAUGGCACAUCAUUUUUUCUCCUUUGGCGAGCAGCAGCACGUUGGUCGCGUCUCUUUCGAUUUUUCUCAGCAUUAGCCUCUUCUAAACUUUUAUAUAUUCUAUUCCGACCCAUUGUCCAAACAUUAAUCUACAGAAACCAUCAGAAAAUCAGCUAAGUGAGACAAUAAAGAUUUUACCUUGCAAAACCACAAAUCAUUGAGGACACCGUCUACUGCCUACUCACCAGUGGAGGCAAAGCAAUCGCAAUUACACAAGAGAUUGGGAAACCAAUUUCACCUUGCAAAACCACAGAUCACUGGGGAGCCAAAGCAACUGUAAUUACACAAGAGAUUGGGAAACCAAACAUACACGUGAGAUGAAAUCUUACAUAUAAAAGCGUCAAUAGGAAACUUUAGAAAACUUUCCACGGCAUUUCUUAAGCUGCUAAACAAAACUAAGAAGAAGAACAGAACCUAAGAAGAAGAAAAAAAGCUAGGAGAAAAGAAAGGAUAUAGCUGACCGACCAACCGCCCACUAACUAAUAGUAAUUGCUGACUAUCAAAAUGGAGAGCCACAUGGACAAAGCAAAGCUACAAUUGAGGAGAGUCAGCAGACAAAAGCAAAAUGCCAGCAAAGCUACAAUGCAAGAGAGCCAACAGACAAAAGCAAAAUGCACUGCCACCCAUCAGCAAAAGACCAAACCAACCGCCCACUAACUAAUAGUAAUUGCUGACUAUCAAAAUGGAGAGCCACGCGGACAAAGCAAAGCUACAAUUGAGGAGAGUCAGCAGACAAAAGCAAAAUGCCCAGCAAAGCUACAAUGCAAGAGAGCCAGCGGAUAAAAGCAUUGCCACUAAAUGGGAAAAGACCAAAGAACCCCUCAAAGUCACAAAAAUAAGGCGUAAUAUACAUAAAGCAACAAGUGAAGACUAUUGAAAACUUUGCAAAACCAGAGAUCACUGGAGACACCGUCCACUGCCUACUCACCAUCGGAGGCAAAGCAACUGCAAUUACACAAAAGCUUAGGAAACCAAACAUGCGUGUGAGGUGAAAUAUACAUAAAGCAAAGAAUGAAGACUCUAGAAAGCUUUUGCCGCCCAACCGCCCACUAACUUAAUAGUAAUUGCUGACUACCAAAAUGAAGAGCCACGCGGACAGAGCAUUGCUGACUACCAAAAUGAAGAGCCACGCGGACAGAGCAAGGUUACAAUGCAAGAGAGCCAGCGGACAAAGCAAAAUACCAGCAGAGCCACUGCCACCCAUCAGCAAAGACCAAAACGCCCCUCAAGCUCACACAAAUAACGGCAUAACCGGCCCAUUUUUUACUGUUCACAAGCGGAUUCUCGCUUUAUAUAUGUAAGAUAAGAUAUGAUACAGGUCACUUACUUAAAUAGGAGAAAAUCUUUGAGAAUCUGAUCGCAUCGUACAGCAAGGCCUCUGAUCCACCCGCGUGCGUCAACCACAAGAACUUGCACAGAGCAUGAGAAAAAUUGGGAAGUCAUAAUUUAUUAGGAUGCGAAGUUAAUUCAUGCCACACAAUAAAACGAACGCUCCAAUCUCCUCCUCCCUCUUUCCUCUCCUCACCAGCUUCGAUUUCCACCAUUUAAACCAAACAAAUUCCACAAGGAAUUCAUUUCUUAUUUGGGUAGAAAUUGCUGGUUUUUAAACUAAACUAUAUCAAAAUUCCAGCUGAGAAGCCUCUUAAUUUAUUCCAUAAUUAUCGACCACAACCUACUUCCCCACGGCGUCCCUACACGCAUGUGAACAAACACAAAGAUGUUCGCAUCACUACUGUAUUUAAUGCUUAAACUCCGGAUUGGAAAUUACACAUUUCCGCUCCCGACCUAUAUAUUCCUCUAUCAUCUCCUCCUCCAUUUCUCGCUGCCCUUUUCUCUGAUUUUGUCCCUUUCCCCCUCUCUCUCUGGGCAUGGUGGUGGUUGAGUUUAUAGGUUGUCGUCGGUUACAAAAUCCAUCAUAAGAUGUAGAAAACAACGUUUGUAUUGCCCAUUUUAAAUAUUCAGAGAGAGGGGACAGCAGAAUAUCAGCGACAGAGAGAGAGAGAGAGAGAGAGAGAGAGGAAAAUGAAAAAAAGUAUGGAGAUUGCAAGAAUCAGGGAGCUGCUGCUUCUUUGGUGUAGAGCUCGAAGCACCCGUGUGGCCCUUGUGGGUGGAAACCACACCGCUGCCAGAUUUUGCACCCGCUAAAUCCCUUUUUCCAUCCCCGUUGGCUUUGGUUUUUUUCCUGAUUAAUUAUAAUUAAGAUUUCUUGAUUUUGGGCUUUAUUAUUGCUCAAAAGUCUGCAUCUUUGCUCGCUGCUUUUUUGGUGAAGGUGCAUUGGAGGAUUAGUAGUUGAAAAAAGUUGCACGAAGAUCAAAAAUCAUUCUUUUUUGUUGUGAAAACAUGGAAUUGGCUCAAGGGUAUAGAACCAGCGCCGGAAUCAAGGUGAAGGAGCCGAAUGGUGGUGGGAUGGGAUUGAAUUCCCAUACCCUUUUGGUAAUUAAGCUGCCUGAUUCGCAGGUUUUGCAGAUUGUAUCCAGGUCGUUGUUUUUGGCAAUCAUUUUGCUCACAUUGCCUUCAAUUGGCUCUGUUUUAAGAAGCUCUUCCAAUGCUUCUAAGGUGAACUCUGAUCUGGCUAAUUUCAAAAUAUUGCCUGUUCUUUUUCGUGAUUUGGCCGACGAAGGCCUGAUCAAGAGGGUCAGAAAGGCCUCAUCGUGGGUUCUAGCCUUGAUGAUUUGAUGAAAGAUUUGGACUUCGUGAGUGACAGUGAUAAUAUUGUGGCCUCUGAAACCAACUUGGAGGACUCCAUUCCGAAUGAAACUUUUGAUUUCGUUUUCAGCUUCAGCUUCAAGAAUGCUGAUUCCGUCGACCGCGUUCUGAAGAAUGGCGGCAUUGUGAUCACAAAGUUGAGCAAUGAUCCUUCAAGAUUGAUGCAACGACAAUCAAUUAUAGGAUUGUGUAUCUGCGACGGUUGAGAAUACCAUGGUUGCAAUGAGGAAAAUUAGCAGUAAAGAUGGCUUGACUAAUUCAGCCAAAAGGUCGAUCCCUUGUGGGAUCGCACAAGACGCCAGGAAAAUGGCAUUGAAAGGCUUAGAGGAUGCUUUGCUCGAGCCUCCCAGAAGGACAUUGUUGAAGUCCUCGAGAGAUGAAAUGAGGAAAAUCAAAUUCCUUCCUCAUCUGUUAGGGGACUUCCACUCCCUGGCAAGUUAUAGACGAAGGAUCUUGAUUUCAGAUGACAAAAGUGGUUUUGAAGGUUGGUUUCACAACAACUAUCCAACCGAAAACCAACACUUUGAGACAUACAAUCUAGAGAUUACUGCAGAAAAAUUGUCAUCAAGAAGCAUGGUGAAUCCUGCUGCAGGGAUAUCAGGUUGGCUGAAGAAUAAUGCGAGGCAAGAAGACUUCGUUGUAAUGAAGGCAGAAGCACAGGUUGUUGAUGAGAUGAUGGAGAGAAGACAAUCUGCUUGGUGGAUGAGUUGUUCUUAGAGUGCAAGAACCACUUUCAAGAUGAUGGAGUGGAAGAAGAAAAUGAAAGCAAGAGGCCUAUUGGCAGUGUUUAGCUUUGUACGGAAGCUUGAGAGAUCAAGGGGUUGCUGUGCAUCAAUGGUGGAAUUGAUUGCAAUCUAGCGACCUUUUGGAUGUCUGAUUAUGUUGUACCUGUUCGUGGAAUUUCAUGAUUGAAUUGGCAGGGAAAGUGGCCUAAAAUCUUAUUGGCCCUUGAUUUUCUGUCUCUGAUUCUGUGCCAAUUGUGUUUUAAGGAAUUUGAUAUAUGUAAAGCGUAUUGUCUGCUUUGCCAGAUUAAUCAAAGAUGCUGGUACUAAGAAUAUUCCGAAUUUUCCAUUACAGCAAAGAAUCAUUUCCCCGUGCCUAUUUUGCGUUUACUGCCAGAAGCCCUGGCUGUGGGUUUUCUUCAUUUUUUGGCAAAUCAACCGCAUUAGACCUGGAGUUUACAUACUUAUUUUUUUAGAGCGAGCCUGAGAUUGCAAAUACAUGAUAACACUAAUAUGAAAAAAAAUAAAAGAAUAAGGACUAUCAAUAAUUACUACCAAGCCACAACCACCAUUCCCUGCAAUGCACCACAACUGCAUCCACAGUUGAACAGUUUCUUUUUGACAGAAAAAAAAAAGAAAAAGAAAGAAGAGAUGUAUAAAUAUGCAGCAGUGGUGUUGCAAGUUUCAUUAUCGACUUUUUUGGUGUUAGAAAAGCGAAGACCUAUAAACAACAGCUCAAUUUUCUCAUAGAAUAAUAACUGCAAUAAGCAUCUGCCAUCAAGAAAAGUAUCGAGAAAAAUCAAAGAAGAACCACCAAGAGAAAACAAAAAUAAGGAGCUCUAAGUAUUAUAUUCUCUAUUUCCUUUUCUCUUGUAUAAAUAGACAAGAGUCACAGGGCGUAUAUGUCACAGAAAACUCAGAAUAUACAGACAGAUUCUACAGAUUGGGGACGUUUUUCCAUCCCCCAGGUGCUAGGAACCCCAAGAAAGGAGAGAAGCGAGAAAAAAAAAAAAAGGCUCUCACUAAGGGAUUCUCUAAAUUAACUGGAAUGAAGAGGCACAUCAAAAAAAUUCCCUAUCAAUCUCCAUGUUCAAUACCAGCUUCAGCUUCCCUUAAGUCAGCAUCAUUCAAAUCUAAUAAAUAGUCACAAAGCUCCAGAAGCUGAUCAGCCAUUGGAGGAAUACCUGGGUUGCGUCUAUCAUUGUACGCAUGGGCAUUGAAGGUGAUUUGCCAUAUGUCAUGCCUAAAUUCUUCGCUUCUUUUAUACUCCAUCCUCCUCACCUUUUCACGGAUUGUGGACAGAUCCAUCGGUCGGUUUAUGAUAUCAAGGUAGUCAGGAGCAUCCUUCUUGGAAACUGGCUUUAAAAAAAGAUAGGAAAUCUCUUGCUUCUCCUUGAGAGUCUCCACAAUGCUUUCCAGGAUGUUUGACAAGCCAACCUGAAAUAAAAUCAAGAUGAGCUUUACAUGCAAAUCUACAUUUUCAACCAAGAUUAAAGAAAAACACCAACAUGAGCAGAUAGAUUUGCUGCUUUACUAGAUUCCAGUCCAAGCAAGAUUAAAGAUAAUGCAAAGCAUCCCAGUAAACUUAACAGCUAUCAUGCCAAUCCAGUCAAAAUAAUAACAAUGUAGAAUUAAAGAAUUACAAAGAUGGAGUACAAGCCUACAACAAGAUCACAUCACUCUUGUGCAUUUGUUUGAGAUUGUGUGAUUGGCAAGCAUCUAAACAAAAAAUGGCAUUUUUUGACAGAAAUGUCAGAUGACUAGCAAAAUAUUGUUUUCAAAGCAAAGCAAUUACCCACACCAAAGAACCUCCUUCCGCCCCUCCCCUCCCAAACAAGAAACAUCAAAAGAAAAUUGCCCAACAAUUUAAGUUAAGAUAAACAGUCCUUUUAGCUCUUCAACCAAAGUCAGAGAAAAGUAAAAUUACACAAGACUUGAUCUUGGAAUUUCUCAGCCCAUUCCAACCACUCUGUAAACAUGUAACGAGACCUUUUGCGCAGUUCCCUAGCCUUACUCCUACUAUAAGAAUCAAAACUCAUAGGCACAAGCUUACACCAUUGCACUCUUAGGAAUGAAUUAAAGCCUAACAAAAUAACCCCAGAAUAAAAACAACCAUACUAACACCUCAACACACACAUCCAUUGAAUGAUGGUAGCAAGCUCCAAAUCAUUGCUCAGGUUUUCACAGGGUGGGGGGAGGAGGGGUGAGGGUGAGAGUCCUAUGGAUGAAGCAGAUUUCAACAUCUAUAAUCAUACAAAAAACAAAAUAUUCCCCAAUGUGAGGAAAGGUUAUUUAACAUCAUGGAAAAACUUACCUCUCCUCCUCGUCUGCGCUUUGUUGCUGGGCCAUAGCCAGCACUGUAUCUUCCGGUAUCAGGUCCUGGUUUCCUCUUUGCUGUUCUGUCUGGUAUCCUCCUGUCAUUUCUUCUGGGAGGAAAAUCAUCCAGGUAAUCAUCUCUAAUUUCAGGUCUUUUCUUCUUUUCUUCUUCUUUUUUGCCUUUUCACGUUCUUCUUCUUCUCUCCCUGCGGAUGGUUUCUUCAUAUCGUCUUAUCUCGGAAAAUCUAUCCCGCUCUUCCAUCGCCCUUUUCUGUUCCUCCAAAUACCUUCGGGCUCUUUCUUCUUUUUGUCUGAUAGCAAACCUCCUCUUCUCCUCCGCUUCCAACCAUCUCUUCUCCUCUCUGUUCUUCUUGCUUGCUGCUUGGUCAGUGAAAUAUUUGCUUUGUCGCACCCUAUGCUUAUCAACACUUGUCAAUUCAACAAUUUUUUUUGUUUUCCGGUACUCAAUUCCACUACUUCCUUCCUGACUUACGUCAUCCACAUUUAUAACCUCCUUUGGCCGUUUGAUUAUGAUUUUCUUGCGAGGCUGGUCUCUAUCAGACUCUGCUGGUGGCCUUAUAACAAUGGAAGGCUUUUGAGACUCAACCAGCAUAUCAUCCGGUUUAGUUUUGUUUGAAAAAAUAAUUUUGUUUACUUUGACAGCAGAUUUAUGUACUGUUUCAGCAUCUGAAGUUACAGGUUUGUCAGAAUUCUGUGAUGUGGCAGGAGUGAGCUUAUCGGGGGGUUUGUCAGUUGUGCCACAUUUGACCUUCAGAAUUUUUGCCUUUGUACUAGACUU